rnacentral:lncRNA from 1 species
UUUAUUCUUUUUUUCAUUUGCGUUUUCAUUUCUAGGUUUACUUUCUUUUGUUGAGGGAUGUGCAUUUAAGUUUGUGUGGGAUUCUUUUUCUCCAAACAAUAACAAUAGACCUCCUUCUCCGGCAAGCAUUCCAUGCACUUUACUUGGAAGAAAAUCUAAUGAAGGCAUUUUUAUCCAUUUUUUUUUCCUAAGAUCAUAAGCUUGGAUUUUGCGCACCAUUUCUUUUUUACUUAGUAUAUUGCAUGAACAUGUAACCGAUCCAAAUUCAAUAUCAUUGGGUUUGGAAGUGAUAGUUCCCAUUUUCACAUAUGCUUCAUUUCUUACUUUGUUGUUUUUUUCAACUUGUUCUGGAACAAUAAAAGGCCCUAAAUGUAUAAUUUGCUCACCUUGGAAAAGAUCAAUUUGUACUAACACAUCUUCUAAAUCAACACCAUCUAAACAAUUAUCAGUAAGAGGUUUGAUAAUUUCAGCUUCUGCUUCUUUUUCUUUCUCAUUCUGAAUCUUAGGUUUCGGUUUCAAUUUAGGUUCAAUUUUUACACUAAGAUCAACCCUCUCUUUUUUUGAUUUUUUCAAACUUGGUGCAAGGACAUUUUUGUUGUUCUUAUCUUCAAUGCCCACUUCUUUCUUUUGCUCCACUAAAAUAUUUGGAUCUUUCACAAUUUUUUCAUGUUCUUUCAUGCAAAAUGAUGUCAACCAAUAAUCAUUUGGUUUGUAAGGUUUAAGGUGGGGUACUAGAAAGGGAUUCUUAGCAUAAUUUAACAUAAUUGACUUAUAAGAUGGUACAAUUCCCACACGAAAUAAUACUUUUGGUGGUAACUUAGAUAGGAUUAGGUCUCGAAUAUUGUGUCUAUCUUUUAUAUCUUCACUCAAAUAUUCAAACCAAGCUUCAAUCCAUUCAUAUUGACCUACUUUAUCUUCCAAUAAUUUUAAUUUUGUCAAUGCCUUAUAAUUAGGUCGAGGUCCGGGUAACCUUUCUUUAUUAGGUGGUUUGAAUAUUACCUUUAAACUCUCUACAAUAUUCAGUCUUACAGUGCAUGUGUUUGUUAUUGUUGUCAUUGUUGAAUACUAAAAUGAAAUGUUUCUUAAACAUGAACUAUAGAUUUAUCAUAAUCUACAAACCAAUAUUUUGGUGUAAAAUGAUAAAGCUAUAGUUUGAAAAUGUUAAAAAUGUACUGGAUUUGAUAUUUUAAAUAAGUUAUCAUAAGAUGAGUAUUAUGAAAUUUGUAUUAUCUUAGUAGUACUCAUAAGUUGUGACUUUUAAGUUAUCAUAGGUAAUUUUUUUCCUUCAAAUUAUUUUUGAAUGGAAUGUUAUGACAUGUGCAUACAUUACAGAAUCCUAACAAAGAGUGUAAACAUGAUUGGAUUUUGAUUUCAAAAUUUAAAGAUGGCAUCUUCAAAGGUUGUAUCUUCAAUAGUCACAUCUUUUAAAAAUAAUUCCUUAUUGUGGUAAUGUUGAGUUGUUGUUGUUGUUAUUAUUAACAUUGUCAUUUUUGUUGAACAAUGAAGAAUAACAAGAGUAUUUGUAACAUGUUCAAAACAUUAUAUGCUUUAAUGGACACACACACACACACACACAUAUAUAUAUAUAUAUAUAUAUAUAUAAAAGAUCAUAUAUUCAUAUAUAUAUAUAUAUAUAUAUAUGAGAGUGUACUGAAUCAUACAUUUUUCAAUUAAAAAUUAAGGUGCAUUUGUUUUUAAAAGAAAUAUAUAUAUUUUAAAACUUGAGUGUGCAUGAUUUUAGAAACUUACAUAAAUACAUUGUAGUUUCAAACUGUAGUUGUUCAGAAUUUGUUCAUAAUAAAUCCGACAUACUAGGGCAAUUUGUUGUUGUUAUUAUUAUUAUUAAUAUAUAAUUUAUGUAAGUAUAGAAAAGAUAUAAUUUAUGAAAGAAAAUACUUUUGUUCCAAAGCUUGUAAAUUUUCAAAUUACAUGGAAAAAUAAAUACUUUGAAAUUUCUUGUUCCUUACAGAAGUAGUUGUAUUUUUCACAUUAUAAUUACUUUUUGAAUUCUUAUCAAAUUAAAAUUUAAAAUUUGAAUUUACGCAGAUGAUUUAAAACUAUAAUAUAUAUAUAUAUAUAUAUAUAUAUAUAUAUAUUUGCAAAAGAAAAAAUCCACCAUAAAUAUUUGUAGUUUAAAACUAUAAUUAUGUAAAUAUAAUGACUAGGUUGUAUUAUGUAUUUUAAAAAUAUUAAGGUAGAAUGACGACUUUUUAAUUAGUCCUUGCCAGACUCACAUAUAACUAUUCAUUUCUGAAUUGUAGCUUCUAUAUGAGUUUUUAGUUAAUCUUUUAUCAAUAAAUUUCAAAUCUGUUAUUGUGUUGAUUUUUUAAAACUAAUGUAUUUUCUAAUAGUACAAAAAAAAAAAAAAAAAAAAAAAAAAUUUACUCAUAUUUUAUAAUAUUAUAUGUUAAGUCAUUGUUUUAAAUGAAAUUACACUCAUUAGCCAUUACACUAGCAACUUUUCUUUCUAUUUCUAGCACAUUGAAGCAAGUGACAAGUGUUCCUAAUCUUAUACCUUUUACAUGUGCCCAAAAUUAGUAUUCAAUAAACAUCCACAUUCAUAUAAUUCUUUAUUCAAAAUAGAGUAUUGGGCUAUAAAAUUUGAAUGUCACUAAUUGACUAAUUUAAACACUAAGUACAGUAUUCUACUCAUAAAAUGGUACCACUUCUAAGAUAAUAAUUUCAUAUUUCUUCUUUCUAUGGCACCACCAUCCUAGCAUUUACCAUCCAUAAUGAUCCUAUAACUUCAUUUAAUUAUCCUUUAAUUAUUCUCAAAAUGGUGGUGGCAAACCAAAAGUAUUAGUCUUUUUGCAUUCUACUUUAGUAAUUGGAUAUAAGAUUUUUUUAAAUAAAAACCUUAUAGCCCUACUUGUUUACAAAUAUAAAAAGACUAUCAACUAUGACGAUCUAUUGUUGAUUGUAUCAUUUCAAUUACUCUUCAAACAUGUUUAUGGUGAUCUAUUAAUGUGAGGAGACCAUCUUUUCUUUAUGUACUAUUUUUGUGGUUUAUAUGUUAUUUCUAUUACAUUAAAAUUUUAAAAAUGAUAUGUUUUUAAAAAUUAAUAUUCAAGGUAAUGACAAACACGUUAAAUGAACAUAUAAUAAAGAAACUCAAGACAUAUAAAAAGAACAUAAACUUAUGAUAUAAGUCAAGGAGACAAAAAAAAAAAAAAAAAAAAAAAAAAAAACUCUCAUUAGUUGCUCAUGAUAUCACUAAGGACAUAUCAGUAAGAUAAACUAAAGACACAAAAAAUUAAUAAAAUGAACAUUAAGAUAAACUAGAGAAAAACACUAGAACAAAAUAGAGUUUAACUUUCUAUGGCCAAUGGUAUGGGUUUCUGCUAGUGUUAUAUAAGUUGAUUGACUUAACAUAUAUUAUAGUCUAGUUUUUAUCUAAUUCAAAUAAAAUUUCAGUUUAACAUCAAAAUUGUUAAUGUCUAAGUCAAGGUCAAUUUUUAAUUUUAAAAAGGGAUUAUUACUACAUUUUUUUACUAUCAACAAAUGUAAUUUAAAAAUUAAAAGUACACAUAUACAAGAAAGGAAACAAAAAGAACAUAUUUUAAGCAAAUGAUGUUAUUUUCUUAAUAUAGCUACUUUUAAAGAGUUGAAAACCUAACCAUUCUGAAAGCCACAUCAAAUGAACUUCAUGAAUACAAAGUACAAUGCACAAAUUUUGAAUAGUGUUUUUUUUCAUAUCGAUCCAAAAUCAACAUUCUAUGAUCACACUUAUCAAUACUUGUAUCAAUACACAAUACAUAGUCCAAAUUGCUUAUCACAAGUGUAGGCCUCGUUAUUGAUAUUAUCCCAUACUCUUUCCAUAUUAAAGAAGGAUGUGCAAUUUCCAUGACACAUACACGAGUCAGAGAGACCCUCUCGGUGCAUUCGUGAAUCAAUCACCGACACUGAAACCCUAAACCCUGAACCCUAACAGCGUCACCUUGAAAGGUCUGUUGGCGAUGGGAGGAAUGAGGAAACGGGCCGAAGAGGAAAUCAGGUUUUGUCUUGUAUUGGGUUGUUGUUUGAUUGUGUGCUUGAUUAUGUGUGUGUGUGGCAGAGAGAUGUCAUCACCAAUUCCUUGUGCCGGGAAUCCUCCUGUGUCCUUGUGUGCAGUGUGUGGAGUGCCGAAGGAGGCGCACAUCCACAUGUGACACAGCCCAUCUGGGCCAUAUGCGCCGUUGUACCCCGAGAUUCGUGACUGGCCUCUUCUGUAAAAGUUUCUUUGGCCACGGCUCCUCAUGCAAUCGUGUUUGAACUAGUGGAUUGUGGGACGAGACAUGCAUCAGAGACACGGCAAGGGAAGGGCUGAGGAGCUGAGACGGCUUUGCUUCGAGCAGAGCGGAAGUUCCUUGCAGCAAUCAGGUGUCUGUAAUUGCAACAUUGCAUGUUUGUACCGUGCAUGAGUACGUCGAUCUGUGCCAGUCUGCACGAGAAUCUGCAACGGUCCACGCUGUCUCAGGGUUAAUAUAUAUAUAUGUUUGAUUUUUGUUUAUGUUUAUGUUUUUAUUUUUUAAUCGCAUUUGUUUCAGUUACGGAACUGGUGAAACGCUGAGGAGUGGAGCAUCCGCGUGCGGCAUGCCCACGAUUGUUAUGUUCGUCGAUAAUUCGUCUGCACGAGUUAAAAUCCAUUCUUCACGACUAAACGUGUUGAAGUGUUUCAAAAAUCACGAAUUCUGUGACAAGCGUUGCGGUUCAUCAGGACCAAUUUAUGGAGAAUAGGAUUUACCGUAUGAAUGAUUUGUACACCUGGGGAAAGGAGAAAACAAACAUUUUUUAAUGCCAUGUUCGUGUCCCUUAGUUCAAACUCCCCUGUCCAGAUUUUCAGUGCAACAGGAUUGCCACUAUAAAAUCUCAACAGUGUUAGUUCUCGAAUCUGUCACGAUGCGUUUGAUUUAAAAAUUUCGAGGUUAGGGCUUCUUUGGGAGGCCUUUCGCCGGAAAGAAAGCGAGAAAAUAAAUAAAUGAUCUUAUUUUUAGGUCAUUUCUUCUCUUCCCAGAAUUCGGCAUAUAUCCGAUAACCCCAUACUGGCAGCGGAAAAAACUAGGCCAGACACUAGUGAUUAUACAACUGGUGUACAUAACAAAUCAUCACGGUCGUUCGAUUAAGAGUGAUGCAAGACUAUGGUGCAGACAAGAAAAAUCUAGGUCAACUCCAGUUGGUAGUAAUUCAGCUGCAUCUGUGUGAGUCGAAACCUGAGUGCUCGUAAAAUGCAAAUGCUGCUUUAGAGGACGAUUGGCAUGUUCUGAAACACCACAAGAACGACUAGCUAUUCACCGCCGCAAAGAAGUCCCAACUUAUGUAUGUACACCGCACGGCAUCUAGUCCUUGAGUCCACGAGUACUGUAUUCCGUGCAUCAGCCCUGCACUUGCCUCCACAUUCUGCGACCAAGUCAUAUCCAUUUGACAUCUUAAUUAACAGCAAAAAUGGUAUAAGCUCGAGAUAACCAUCAUUUCUCUCCGUGGAAGGAAUGGAUCUGGUUCUUUCAUUACUGAAAUACCACUCAAUUAUCACCAAUCAUAGCCCAUAUUGCCGACGUCUCCCACCAAGCAAUGCAAUGGAGGUGUGAAGAAUUACACAGUUUUUGAAAGUUUUCUUAGAAGUGCUUUGUCACCAAAUACCAUACCGUGUCUAAACUUGUAACAGCAUCGAGAUGUUCCUUGCAAGCCGAACCGCUUGCAUUCAACUAAAUGUUAACGCCUAGUUAUGCUCAACAGGAUCUAGACACGUAACGUCAGAGCAUCCUGUGGAUACUCAAAAUUUGAUCAUCCUAAGUUAAGCAUAUGUCCAAUUAUGCUUUCUAACUAGAAUCUGAUUACUGAAAAACCCUUCCAAAUUGCAAAGGAAGAAAUUAAAUGCUGUGGCCACUCUUAGAUUGAACCAACAUAGCAUUGAAGGUACGUGAGCACAUGAAGCCUAGACAUUCUUAAGCUUCGCCAUCUUGGAAGGAGGCCAUUUUCCUUUCUUCCUGAGCUUCCUCUUCCUGACUAACCUUUUCCGACGGAGCUCUUCCUUCUUGGCCUUCCUCUUCAGAAGCUCAGAUUCAGACAGCAUGGUAGUGAUGGCAGGUGCCGGCUCCGCGCUAGCAUCAUUCACAGAGGCCUCAAUGACGUCUUCAGAAGCCUUGACGACAAUUGUCCUCAACGGGACAUAGGCAGCAAUAACACGCGCAUUGCUAUAACUUGACGACAACACAGUCGUAUGACCUAGCCCAAACCCAAAUUUCGUCUCCAAACAUCAACAAUACGUUCAGCAAACCACGCAGUGCUCCUCCGUCAACCCACUACGCAAAAUACACUUCUCAACAUGAUAUAAAAAAUCAAAAAAAUCAAAAAAAAAAAAAAAAAAAAAAAAAAGAGAACGGGAAAACCACAGGGUCAGUUAAAAGCAGAGGAAAAUCCGAGACGAGAUUUGUGAAACUUCCACUCACCGGACAGAGGAGCGACAGGGAGUUUCCACUGCGAGACGGAGGAGGAGGAGGCGGUGCAGGAGGAAGAAACCGAGAGCGAGGACAAGGGAGCCACAAGGGGAGAGCUGCAGAAGAGCGCCAUCGCCAUGCCGACAGCUUGGAAAUCAAAGCAACAUAUCCUUCGAUGGUUUCUUUCCACACUCGACCCACCUCGCCUCUCGGUCGCUCGCUGGCUCACUCGAUGUGGAUAACCCUAAGGGAUACGAUGAAUGAAGGAAUAGCUCGUAGAUUCGGCAGACGUGAAUGGAUCAAUAUGAAAAUAAUUCAUCCGCGAUAUCCCUGCCAUGUUCAAAUGUUCACGCCCGCCAAGUCCGCGCCAAACAACAAUUUUACUUGUCUACUCUCGGGUAGUGUAUGAUUUCUUCACUUCGGAGUAUUUCUACAACUUGUGGAUGGAUGAAAAAGAGAAGCACAGUGUAGAAAAUAAGCACUCUCGUCUUCUACUUUGAACUCUUCGGAGUUAAAUCACAUAGUGCUUUUUGAAUUUCUGGAAUUGUGAAUGAGCUUAGGGCUUAGAAAUAGUUCCUGAAGGCAGUCGAACUCAGGGGAUUUCUUAGAAUUUCUUUGUGGAAUAGUAAAACCUACAGAAAAUUCUCGUUCAAGACAAUGCGACACGAAACUAACUUCGUGUGGAAUAGGAAUCUGCUUGAUUUCCGUCCUCGGAAUGAUAAUUACUUGAUGCAAGCUAUCGAGAUGUGUCAUCUCACAGGGUUUUUGUUUUUUUUUUGUUUUUUUUUUAUCUGUGAGAUGUUUGGCGAGCGAGUCACAGACGUACUCUUGAAGCAUUGCUUCUAGAGUACAAUACAUUCAGCCUCUGAGAGAGAAACUAUAUUUAGAUGUUUUACAGAGUAUUCAGGUAUCCCAUAUUAGCAAAAACAGUGAAUACCGUAGGAUUGAGACUUUCGUGAUGUGUGAGGACACAAUAUUACAAACUGUUGCAUAUUUUUUUGCAUAUGUUGCAUAUACUGUUGCACAGUAUUACAACACCGUACUCCUGAUAUGGUGAGAUAUAUUUACGGCCGAGAGUUUUGAAGAGAUCUCAUCCGAGAUGUUGCAGAGCGCCUUCCAAAGCGGCAUGGAGGAUUCAACGUGAUUCGAACUCCCUCGUGACAGCCCUUUGCUGGUACGUAAGCACGAAAACUUAUCUCAAAAUUUUCCUUCCAGGAUGCAAAGUUCAAUCCUACUCUUUCUAACUACAUCAGGUUUGAACCUUCACCUUCUAUUGGAUGAAUUCAGCCUUCGUGCGCGGGGUUCACCGAUAUGUAUAACCAGAUCAAGCAAGGUCACGCAAAUACCACCUGGAGCAUCAGGAAUCAGACUCCACGAACCGUUAUUGUCUGCAAACUGCACUGUUGUAUUGAUGUGUGAGAUCCUUUACCCUCCAUUCCGAAAUGGCUGAUUCUUUCACCACAGAUCUAUACCAUUCCAAAUAAGUGUUUUAUCAUUGGAGCUGCAGUCGAGGUCUAUCACAAGUAGAAUGCACUAAUAUUUUGUAACUACGAUUGCGGUCGAAGUUAAUUGAAGAGGAGUAUCAAAACGUUUCAGAAUUCAACAAAGUGCUGCUAGUAAAAAAUAACUUAAAAAUAGAUAAUUAGGUGAAGUAUUCAAUGUCACCAGAAAACCGAGUUAAACAUGAUAAUAGUAUGACGAGAAUCUGCCGCCAAUUGGAUCUGUUUGUGGAUAUGGAGUACUAUUGUUGCACAAUUUGAAAGUAAGAUUUGGCUUCAAUAACAUGCACUACUUGUGUAUGCAGCGAGUGUAACCUGCGAGCAUAAUAAACAUAGAAUAUGUACAUGGAAUAGACAAAAUAGUGUUGUUUGCAUCAAACUCACCGUACCGUAGUACUUGUAUAAUACCAAUUAAGUCAAAUUCGACCCUACAUCGACCAUCCUUUUCAAAUUUUGUUAAUCUUUAUUCUUAAAUUUAAAUUAUUUACACAUAAAUUUGAAAACUUAAUAUUUCAAGAUUAUACAAUGUGAUUUAGAUAUAGAGAUAUUAAUUAGGGUGUUGCUAAUGUCAUCACAAUUUUUGCUAUUGUCACUACAAUUUGCAGUAAACCAUAUGUUAUCAUAGUUUUUGCUAGUGCCACAACAAGUUGUCUUGAACUUAGAUCACACACAAUGCAUUUUAGUACAUCAAAUGUAUCUUUUAGUACUCCAUAUAGUGCAUAGUACUAUGCAAUUCAAGUUAAUGAUAACUUAUGAUGGCAAUAGCAAAAACUAUGGUGACAUUAUCAAUACCUAAUAAUAAUAACAAUAAUAAUAAAUUUUAUAAUUUCAAAUAAAUAAAAAAUAAAUUAGAUUUAUAAAAAAUACUAAUUUUAAGAGACUAUAAUUUAUAAUUUGAUAUACCUUUGUCAAGUUUGAUAGAAAAUUGUAAAUAAUUAGUAUGAUUCAUAUUAUAUAUUGAUUUUUUUAUGCUUCAAAAUAGAUGAUAUUAUAUGUAUUCAAUUUAUGAUUUUAAAAACUCAAUAUUAUUUAUUAAAUUUAUUUUAAUAAUUAAAAAUAAUAUAUUUAAUACUAUAUCAAAUAGUAUUUUUUAUAUUUCACAUUUUUUAAUAAACUUAUAAAAAUCUAAUUUUAUAGUUAUAUAUAUAUAUAUUAUUUAAAAAAAUAAAAAUCCAUAUAUAAUAACUAAAAUAUAUUACAUGUAUUUAAUUUUGAUAAUUAAAAACUAAAAUAUCUUAACAUGUAGUUUAAUUUUAAAUAUUCAAAAUUUAUUAUAUAUCUAUAUAAAUUUAUUUAAAAUAAUAUAAAAUAAAAAAUUAUUGAUAUUAUGAUUUUAACUAUUUUUAUACAUAUAUUUACUAUAUAAUAAAUUAAAUUAUACUUGUUAUCAAUCUUUAAUUCUGUUUACAAAUAUACAUUCAAACUAAUUAAUAAAAUUUUAUAUCUAUUACAUAAUAAGACUAGUAAAUAUAGGGAGUUAAAGCGACACUCAAAUUUUGUUAAAGCCACACCUCUGUUGCCACCUCAUAUUCCAUUUUGUACUUGUUUCAUAUCUCUAACCUUGUUUCCAACCCCUAUCUUCUAUUUCCAGCCAUCGUUCCCCAGCCCCACCUCAUUUUGUCUCCACCAUGUUCCCACUCUAUCUUGUCAUGACCCCACCCCAUUCCCAUCCUGUCCUGUUCUCAAUCCCAACUUUAUCUAAAUUUUCAAAUUUGAGAUAUUUACUUGUCAAAUUGUUAUUUUUAGUUAAAAUAAAUAUUUGUAGUAUUAAAUAUCACAUCCAAAUAAUGUUAGAGUUUGAGUAAAAAUAAUGUUUCAAAAGUUUGUGUUUCCAUCAAUAGAUUUAAGUGAAGUUUGUGAAUUGCAUAAUCUAACAUUUAAUUGAAAAUAAAACUUUUUGAAUUGCAAGAUUUUCUUACACAUACGGAAACAAAAAAUUAUUGUGUAUGAAGCUAUGCAUACAUUCUCUUUGUACAAAUUGUUUCGUAUUAGAUCCUAAUAUUCAUAUCCUUACAAUUAAAUUGUGAAAUUAGAAUAAUAUUAAUAAUUUCAAAAAUCAUCUUGCACAAUAAUAAAGCAAUAUGGUUUUCAAGUUAUUUUUUUAACAUUACUUUUGUCACAUUGUAUUUUAUUUUAAAAGUAUCAUAUAUUUGUAUAUAAAUAAUGAAAGAAAACAUCUCACAAUAUUAAUUUUCAUACAUAAAUUUAUAGUUUUACUGCUUGCAUCCUUUAACUAUUAUUAUUAUCACUAUUUAUUUUUAUCCAAAUCAACAUAAUUAUCUAAAUUCCUAGUGUAAUUAGUUUUAUCAAAAUGAAAUUAUCAUCCAUUUGAAAAAAUCAACCAUGAUACUUUUCUUUAUGUUUAGUAUUAUCUCACUUCAAAAAAUGUUAAACAAUAUAUUUAAAAAUAUAUUUUGAAUGUAUUUUAACAACUUGUACAAAAGUUUUUACUUACUGCAAUUGUUUAUGAAAUUAAGUUUACAUAUACAAAUCAAAAACAUUUUGAAUAGCAUAUUAAAAACUCAUGGUUUUUCUUUCCAACCUUAAAUCCCAUGUUAAAUUUGAUCCAUACAAGUUUUUAUGAGCACCUUUCAAUGUAUUUCAAAACCAUAUUACUUUGAAUAUAUAUAUAUAUAUAUAUAUAUAUACAUAUACAAAUAUAUAUUAAGAUCUAUAAUCAUAUGUUAUCACCUCGUUGUAAUUUAAACUUCAUUAAUUACAAAUAAGUUUUCAACUAAAGAUAAUAAUUUAACAAGUGAAUACCUCAAAUUUGAAAAUUUGGGUAAAGUUGUUAUCAUGAAUAACUCAAAAUUUAAAACUUAAGAAGAAGUGAAGACAAGAUUAGGUGGAAGGAAGGAGAAAAGUGAUGCUAGAAAUGGGAUUGGAGACAUGGAAUGGGUACAAAAUGAAUCUUAAGGUAGUAGGGGGAUGUGGCUUUAACAAAAUUGGGGUGUGGCUUUAACAACUUCCUAAAUAUAAUAUCCAUAUGAUUAAUAUAUAUUAAUCUUAUUAGCAAUUAGAUAAUAUUAAUCUAAUAAAAUUAUUAUUACACAAUCACACUUCUAAAUUAUAUCUAUAUACAUUUUUAAAUUAUUUUAAAUUGAGAAUCUAAAUCUUUUAUAUGAGUAUCAACUUUGGGAUUGUGCAAUCAAUAUUCAAAAAGCACUAAAUAACUAUAUAGACCUAUUCAAAAUCUAUUAUUGCAUAAAUUUGUAGUACUUAAGGAAUGUAGAAAUAAUAAUUUUAUGCAAUAUUAGAUUCAAUGCUCAAAAUCUCUAAAAUUUUAUUAAAUAUUUCAAAUCAUAAAUAUUUAGAUACGUUUAUUUUUUAAAGAAUAAGUAUCAGUAACUUUGUAUUAUUACACAUUGUUCUACUAUUGUAACAAUAAAUCCAGUGUAAUUUUUAUUAUUAAAUUAAUUAAGACAAAAUCUUUGUGAAAGCAUUUUUACAUUGAUAUUAAAAAUUAUUAUUAAUUAAUAAAUAAAUGUAAUAUAUAACUGUCUUUUGAUUAUGAAUUUAACUUUUAGUAUAGUAAACGUUAUAUCUUUAAGUUCUUAAAAAUUUUAAAUCUAAAAAAAAUACCGUAUUAUACAAUUUUAUAAUCUUUCAAAACAUAAUAAAUACUUUCAAUUGAGAUGAAUUUUUAUAUAAUUAUUUUAGAAUUUAAAUUCUAAAUUCUACUCAAUAGAUUUUGAGUUGGAGAAGAAUUUCAAAUAAGAAUCUAAAAAUUCCUUCUUUAAACUAUUUAUUGGUAAUACAACAGAAAUAUCAAAUUUAAAUAUUAGUUCAAAAGAAGUAGAUUCAACUUUCUUAAUACGAAAAAAUAGUCAACCUUUUGUACAAAAAAAUGAAAAAAUAUAUAAUUUAAAUGGUAAGUCAUUAAAUCACAAAUACAGCCUUACAGUCUCAAUCUUCGGAAAUGACAAAUUUUACCCAAAUUAUAUGAAGUUAACACACGAUUUAAACACGUUUUCACCACAUUUUUUUUUUUGCAGAAACAAACAAUGCCCAAGUUCCAUUUUAUAUUUACAACAUGUACCAUUGUGUGUGUGUGCCAACUCAACAAAUGAACACUUGCAUGAAUAACCCUUGAAUUCCUUCAUUGCAUGUCUUUCACCGAAAAAUAAUUCAUGAGCAUAAUUAUUCAUGUCGUGAUUUUGAGCCAUUCAUAACCUUUUGCCUAAAUCAUGUAACCAAAUUCGUUGUGUUCAGUAGCAAUAUUUUAUUUGUUAACACAUACUCAACUAAAACCAUCCUAUGAUAUAACAAAGAAAUCUAUCUCACUUUUUUUUUUUAAUUUUUAAUUUUAUUGUUAAACUUUUCCACGUUCAGACUUAAAAAAAUAAAAUUUGGGGAAAAACAGACAGGAAAGUGGAACUUAGACAAUCUGAGUCUGACAAACUGCAAGGAAUCCACAAUACAGCCAGGGUAGCCGAGCCUCUGGUAUGGAACCCAGGUGUGGGUCCAGGGCUGAGGUUCGGAGGAGGAGGAGUUCAACACUCCGGGUGCUCUGCCACGUAGGUUUGUCUGUGGAGAGCCAAGCGUCACGCCUGCUUCAUCACAGCGGGGUCCUUUUCACACUGCCGCGCUGGGACCGACUCUGUACUGUCGCGCACGCUGCGCCUCCGAGUCUACUACAUUGGUUUCAAGCCCAAUUUUCCUAUUGAGGGAUUCGCAUUUCGGGGUUACUUUUCGAAGAAUCGACGGCCAAUUCGGGGCCAUCACUGCAGCCAGUGCGACCGCGAGGGCGCUUUCCUCGGUUGCUGCUGUGUUGCUGCUACCCAAGUCUUCACCUUUGACAUUUUGACAUCGUCAACUUUCUGGCGGAAGUUUAGCCACCUUUGCAAUUCCGAGCAGCAUCAACUUGCCCUGUGAGCAUCCCUGCUGAAAAGGGGAGCUACGAGGAAGACCCAACCCACUCAGGAAGUGUGCAGGCUUUAUGACAUUUUGCACAUGUGAAUGAUCAUGAUGUGGGGUGUGACGUUUUUUGGCGAAGACUGGCUUUGGAAAUUUCUUCGUUUCAUACCGAGUGUGGCUGUAAUGCUGAGGGGAAUGAUUCGUGUGUGCACGGUUCAACGGGGUUGUUAGAGCUAUAACUGUGUUGCCAAGGGGGAUUGCUUAUCUGGACUUCGAACGAGUGCUCUCGUGUUUGCUUGCUGGGCCUUGCGGAGCUUUUGGGCUCCCUGUGAGCUGGAGCUGGACUGGGCUGGGCUGGGCAGUUCCCGGUUGCUAGGCAAAAGUCGAGUGGCUUGACUGUGAGGUGAACGGCGUUCGUGCUUGUUGGGAGGAUAAUUUUCUCCUGUUCGUGGGUUUGAAGCGGGUGGUUCUGGUGACCAGUGUUGUCUGUGCGCGCUUUCGGUGGUCGAUCAGUGUUCUAGUUUUUUUUUUUUUUUUUUUUUUUUUUUUUUGGAGUGGGAACUCGAAACCUUAAUUGUGAUUCUCAACCGGAGCAGGCUGUGUCCAUCAGCUCUCUCAUUUUCUUUUCUUAUCACUUUGGUAAAUUGAAGGUGCAAGCUCAUACAGAUAGUUUGGCACCGCUGAUUGUGACAGGAGGCGGUAAGGCUUGAAAGUGAUUCUUAAAUGGUGAGAGUAGAACAAGGACGAGGAGUGGAGUGGAGAAUGUGGACUAGUGCAACAGGCAGUGCCACUGCUUACCGACACACUCACAGAUUAGGUCCUCGAAACCCUUUUUAGCUUUAAGCCGAUAGUUGCCGAUCACGGCGGAGGCACGUUUGUAGUUUGAGGAGAGCGAGGAAAAGAGCACUUGAGAGAUUUAAAACAUCAUGUGGGCUCCGACCGGUAAUCGGCAGUCGGAUGGCGGCUCAAGGAUUCACAGCAGCCGGGGUAAUCCGACGAGUAAAGGGCAUAGGGUGAUGGAUCGAGUUAGGGUCAUUGCUGGAAGCGUGAAAUGGUCUUACUUAGAAAUGGAAGACCAUUUGAAAUGUCGUUUUUGGGAGUUUUUUUCGGGAACGAAGUCCAGAUGCAGCAAUAAGGACUGUCCUACUUGCUAUCCCGCAACUGCAGAGGCCACUCGAUUGUCUCGUGCUCGAGACGGGCGUUUUUCCUCAUUUCUUCAGAAGAUUAGGACAUGGCCGAGGCUAGGAAGUUGCAAGAUCAGGGAUCAAGCUGCACAUCACGCUCAACAGCCUCAGCCUGCUCAAUCCUCUCAACCUGAACGCAUGAAAGCAGCCUCGUUUCCCGCCAAGCAUAGAGAUUUGUCUCGAGCAAGAUACCUCCCCCGGAGGUUUCAAUGCAUUGUAGAAUCUAGUAUUGGAGGGUCGAAAGCACCUGACUCUGGAUUACCGAAUGACGGUGAAACACCCUACACCUUACCUGUUGUUGAAGUCGAAAUAGUGGGUUGUAACGGUGAGCCUACACCUUCUGUAGAAGAUCUUGACAAGUAUUCGUAUUCAUUUGGAAGUGACCUAUCAUUUGAAAACCGUGACAACAGCAUGGUCAAAGAUCAAAGUCUGCCUCGAGAUGUUCUCGACCCAUUAAGACAGAAUUCUACUCCUACUCCACCUGCGGGGCAGAUUAUGAGUCCUGUUGUAGCAGAUAUCAAUGAGGUUCCAGAAAGUGCUGGGCCGGCUCCUCUAGCAUUUGAAUAUCCUUCGUUUAGUCAUGGCAGUCCAUUAGCACCGACUACGCCCACUCCAGCUGGUAUCAGUAACAUUCCAGGGAGUUUUACAGAGUCUCAUGGCCAUGGAUGGCACUCUCAUUCUCAAUUUCACAACCGGACGGAGUCAUCAAUUCCUGAAGUGUGUGCAUUACAAAUGGAGAACGUGCCCCAAUCAAGAUUUACCGGAGUCCGAUGGAAAGCUAAAAAAUGGACUUCAGAAAUCCGACCAACAGGUGCCAAAAAAACUGUUUGGCUUGGGACAUACAACACCGAGGAGGAGGCUGCAAGUGCUUAUGACGCUGGAAUCUUUUACUACCACAAGGUCACAGCUUACAACUUUCAUGAUUCUGUGAAGUAUCUACCUGAACUCAAUCCCGCCUUGGAGGAGAAAGCGCAACUAAAUUUUAUCAAGACCCAGGCGCGGCUUAUUGCGAAGAAAAGGGCUCAGAUUAUGGCGAACCAGUCAUCUGAGUCAGAAAGAGCUUGCCCUCCCACAGAAUUCGUUCCCAGAACUCCUGACACUGUGAAUUCAAGAGCAGAGCCAGCCAACCAUGUCUCAACCAUGGCAGAGUCUUCAAGAGCAUCACCAUUAACUUUCUUCAAUUCAUUCAAGAGGGCCCUUUCUAGGGACUCGGCGCGUCCCAACAAACUUCGUAGAGAAUUCUAGGUACAGUAGACCAGGUCGCAGCCAGCUCGUUACUAUUACAGCCUCUUGCGGCCAUUUGAGCCCAACAAUGAGCUGAGUUGGAGGGAGAUUGUACAGAUUGGGAACCCUUCGUUACUCUUCAACUGCAUAGCUUUGGUUCUAUGUCAGAAGGGUGAGAUCCUCUCGCUGGUGCUCUUCACAAGUUUUGCAUCACCUGCAGAAUUUUUUAAGCCCAACACCAGCUGUUCCGACUUGAAGAAUCGGCUGGUGUAACUGCUUGAAAGGGAGCUGUUGGCAGCUGUUGCCUUAAAAGCAUGUUAAGCUAGCUCGGGUAAGCAGUAAAAUGCUGAGAGCAUCCACACCGUUUGGAUUUUCAUAAGUUUUAUCGUUCAGUUCGUUCUGAGCUGUAUAUAUCCAUUUUCCAGUGUCGAUGGUGCAAGGGUUUGCGUUCGAUCUUGUUAACUACACCGCUUCCAUCAGUCUUACAUCUCCUGGACUCUCGGAAUAUUCCUCAAGGUUGAGUUCAAGCGGCUUCAACUGAUAAUGUCGUGGGUGGAGCAACGGUUAUUGUAAUUUCGUUCGUGUGUGAAUUUGGCACUGGUCAUCCUGUAAUUGGAAGGAGAUUGACGAGGCUUCUGCUUGUUCAGAGGUUGCAUACUCAGGCAUCAAGCGCUUCAGUUAUAGUUUGAGCUGCUCAUCACAUCAAUAAAGAUAUCGUCUAAUGAAGGUGAACACCUUGGGACGGCAAAUUCAGAUUCUGUUACUUACGUUGAUGGUGCAGUUUCGCCGAGUGAUGAAGAACGCUGUGGUCCAAGUUUUCAUCCAGUUUUCUCUCAAUCUCCAGACCAUAUUGCAGCAAGGGGCUAGUAUCUUGUUCCAUCAGCGGUUGCCUAGUCUCCAACGUGUUGUGUGCACGAUCGUCGGUUUCUAGUAUUUCGUGCUGUGAUAAACAAGGAUGGGCAGGCUUUGGCUCCCAUCAAUGGCAUUGCAUGACUGCUACAAUGGAAACACUCUAUUUCCAGAAACGCCUGGAAAAUUGGAGUUCACGAACCCAGCUUAACCACAUUUCUUAAAUCAGCUGGUGAAUGAAGGGCACUGUUGAAAGAUUGUGAUUUUGUCCGUUGGUAGCUCUGGUGGAGGCAUUACUUGUCAUUUCAUCGUAGUUUCAUUACCAUAUUGAUCUCUUCUCCAUAAAAUUGUUCUAAAUUUCUUCCCUGAUUUUAACUUAGUCGGUACUGUUGGUGGCAAUCUUCUAUAUUAUCAAUUUACAUACACAUAAAUGAUCAGAAAUUCUUUUUUCUAGAUUACAUCUCUUUUAAGCGUUUGUGGGUACAGCACUUGCUUUAAGGUAUCAUAAUCACCGACAUACACUGACAACUGUAGUAAAUCGUGGUUGUACAUGGUGACGCCUGUGCAGUCCUGCAGUGGGACAUAUCCACCCUGCACAGAGGCAGUUUCAUUCUCUGACAACUAGCUUCCUUUUCUGGAGUCAGUCAGUUGUUUGGUUGUGAAGCAAGCUACAGCAUAUGAAGAGGUGAGUAGUCGCACAUAUGCACAUAUGAGACCAUAUGUUAUGUGUUUCAUUGUUGAUGUUGGCAAUGAGAGCUUGUUGUAGCUUGUGAGGCACAAUAGUUGUUUACAAUUGCAGCAAUGUGCACAAAAACUCAGCAUUAUCUCAGCUUCCUCCACACUCCAAGAACCACAAAAUGUUUUCUACCUCUGAAAAUAGAAUAGGAGUGUGUGCAACUCUGGAAACAAGCAAGUCAUGCAAACAAAAAACAAUUCUAUUGCAUGUUGUUUUUAUAAAGAGAAAGAAACCAAUUAAUCUUGAAAGUUAAUUUUAUACUGUAAUGAUACAUUAAGACUAAAAUUAAUAUCAGUAAAUGUUACUUAAAAAAUAUGUAUACUCUAGAAUGCUAGAGUUUGGAAGGAUUAGAGAUUAUUCAAGGUAAAUUGUCUCUUUUUGGAAUCGAAGAAACUCUUAUAAAUUUUUCUUCUAUUAAAAAAAGAAGAUGUUGAUUUAAAAAUAAAAUAAAAAAGCUGUAGAUUAAAUCAAAUUUCUUCAAACCAUCAAUUUUAACAUAUAUAUGAUUAGAAAACUUUCUAUAAUUAUAUCCUCACAACAAGAUGAUUUUUUUAAAUGAAAACAUUUAUUACAUAUUCAUUAUAUAGAUUUUAAACUUCAAUUUUUUUCAGACAUAUAUAUAUAUAUAUAUAUAUAUAUAUAUAUAUUCAAAUUAUCAACUUUAUUUAUUUUUGAAAAAUAAUAAACAUAAAAUAUUAUUUAUACAUUUUAGCCAUUCUAACUUAGACACAUGUGCCUUUGUAGUAGUGUUAAUUGAAUUCUAAAAAUGUAAACAAUAUAGCUUCUUUCAAUUUGGUAUGUGAGAAUAUCUAGCAAACAGUUGUGGAACAGCAAAUUCAUGUUUCUUUACCUAAUGGAAGAGAGAUCCACUGGCAUGGAAAUAUUUGUAUGGAAAACAUUAGUGCUUAUUCAACAUGAUAAAAAUAGAGAAGAAGCAACAAUAGGAUAGAAUACCAAAGUUCCUCUCAACAACGUGACAAUUCUUUAGCUACCCAAGAUAUAAAGAAGCCUUCGUUUUUUCUACUCUCUUAUUCAAUGCGUUUGGAUCUCCCCGUUGGUGUUCAAUUAAAAAUAAUAACAAAAAAGGUUCUGAUGAGCAGCAGCAGCAGCACCGUGUUUUAUGGAUCAAACCGAACAAGAGAUUUGUUGAGUUUUACCGACUCUUCUGGCGUGAAUUGCAGGUAUCGACAGGGUCUUGAAUGAAAACUUUCUAAAAUUCAGAAGAGCACCAAAAGGGACAAUUUCGGAAUCUUCAUGCAAGCACAAGUUCUACAACACUUGGUGUUCCUUUGUUGUCACUUGAGUUGAGCAUGGCCUCGAUUACAGCCACGUCUCGCAUGGCUUCCAAAACUGAGCUUCUCCUGUCUGCCUCUUCUCCCGACAGCCCCUGCACCCAAUUUCCACAAGUUUCAUGUCAGCUUGUCCAGCAGUGGAUAUGGCUCCUCUGCUUCGUUUCAGAAAAUUCAGGGGGUACAUCUUCACACAUCCAUCUCACGAAGAUGCAACAUUGGCAAAACCCCAACAGUUGUUACUCAAUCUUAACCAUCAACACAUAUUAAUUGGUAAACGUACAAAAACCAGUCUGAUCAUAGCAUCUAGAAGAGACGUGAAAACCACCUGGACGACACAUUUUGACACAUCCUCAGCAAAAGCUUGGAGCUCCUCAUACACGCCAGCAAAAGGACUGAAGGUCUCUUGUAUAUCUCCACUUGCAUUUUGGCAGGUGGCCUGUGAUUUGAAGAGAGGGAAAAGAUGAAUACCAUUAGAGUAAGGAAGUUGAAACAUAGAUUUCCAUACCUGUGCUAUGAGUUAUAUAUACGUACAUACACACACAUAUAUAUAUAUAUAGUAUACCUUGUAACCCUGCUGUCCAUUCUUUACUACACGUUCCGCCUCUACUGUGCCGAGAGAACCCACCACCCUCCACAUCAUCUGCAAAUGCAACCCAGGAAUUAACCUUCACAAGACUUGCCGGAUAAUCCCCAAAAACAUGAAAACUCAACUUUAGAUGUAUCAAUUCAAGUUCAUGUGAGAUAAGCUGCAAUAUCAAGACGUAAUUGCUACAAAGAACAUGACAAGUCUCUGAAUGAUGUGUACUUGCGAGAAACUGUAUCUUUCUUGUCGUUGCAGAAUAGCAUAUAUUGACAACUCCAGCACUUCCAUUCCACAAUUGUCUGGAGAACAAUUAACACACACGAUAGAUGUACUGAGAAACUUCGAUUGGUUUGUCAGUUCUCUUCCUGAAGGCACGCAUUUCAUGACACCCAAUUUUGAAGCACAAUCAUAUGAACGUAAUUCAUAAAUUUAGAUGGUGAGCACACAAUCACUACUGAAUCCAGAGAAAAGUGUCUUCUUUUGAGGCAGAAACAACACAUGAACAUAACCAAGAGUAGGGAAAGGUCCAAAACUCACAUCGAGGCCGACAAAUUAUCAGGAGGUGGUUGUGUUUGAUCAAAAUGUGACACAGUGGCUGAAACAGAAGCAAUCUCACAGCCCACAAACUGCACUAUCCCGAAACUAUUUAGAAAUGCUUAGAACUGUUUGUCGCCAGAUUCUCUGCCACAAGUUCAAAUGGAAUUAACGAGUUCCCUCGUCCGAUGGUCCUGAAGUAACACAAACUUGGUCUACAUUUCAGUUGCGCAUAAUAACGAUGCAAAGAUGCCGAGAGAAAAUCAUCUAAACCGAUUAUUAAUGUAAGUCCUCAAAACGAACUGCAUUCCACCUCGCUGUGAAAUGCACUAGUAAGAUUAUUACUAGAAUGGGACAGAAAGAGAGAAAUAGAAAACGAAGAAAGGAUCGAACUGCCACUUACCAUUCGCAAUCCAGCAAUAAAAUGAACACCUCCAUCGAGCAUGAAUCCACCUUGGGUGAAGAAAAUGUUAAGUUGCAAUGACAGGCUACAGUGUAUUUGGUCGCUUCUCUUCAAUUCUAGAUUUCAGUGCCGUAUGCUGGAUUUCACAUAUUCACUAAGAACAUUACGAGUACUCAAGCAAGUACAUUACAAUCCAUACACUUCAGAUAUUGAAUCUCUCAUGUACCAUCAGGCAAUAAGGCGCUCAUACCAAGCUAAUCAGCAGGUUUGCAUCGUGUGCGAUUUCAUAGAUAAGAGAUGACCAAAAGUUGCAUUUGAGAACUCGGGCACCUGAAUAUUGUCGCAUAAAAGUAAGGUUUUCUACCUUGAAAUUUUUAUCACGGCGCCAAGAACUAGAAAAGUAGGGACUGGAGCUAUUUAUUGGUGCUUCUAUCAGCACCUGUACACCCAUAAUUUGACCUAUCUCCUUCGCAAACUUCCCUGUCUGAUGAUCCAAUGUUUCUCCAUUUAGCAUGGCCACAUAAUCAAAGAGGGUUUCAAAUUGAUGUUACUCUUGAUAAAAUAGUUUGCAGCACAAGAAAUAAAGUUCUAAAAGACAUUCUAAAGAAUUCUGGUGAACUUAUUGAAGGGAUGCAAAUAUCGCAGUGCUUUAAAAAAACACCACGCAAUAAAGUUCGCUAUCCAACAACUGAGACGCACAGAACCAUCACCAUCCACCAGAUUUUAUCAAUCCUUGAGUUCCACAAUCACAUCGUUGUAUUGUUAGGAUAAGCAUUGACCAAUGCUGUUUUGCAAGUUGGUGGCUUCACAUAGUAUUGAUGUAAACCUGUAUCAAGGCAGGCUCGAAACGGUAAUUUUCGGCCACCGCCCAGAUGGGCAACUUCUUGUCAUUUACUGCAAGAGCUUGAUAUGUCGACCAAGCCUUACGAACGUCCGCCACACCUGAGUAAAGAUACGCCAAAAGUCUAUGAAUAUCUUUGUAUCUGCCAACUUGACUUGAUUGUUUCUGAAUGGGAAAAGGACUUUUACUGCUUGGUAUCAAAGUGGUGAUGUCAGUACAAACAAUAGCCUAGAAAAGUCGUCAAAUGAACAUCGUGGGGGACUAAACAAAAGUAUCAGAGUCUCAUUCGAAGAAAAUGUGUUGCUGGAGGGUUUGAGGAACUUACUUGCACCAACAGGCUUCUCUAUAAUCCAUGUAAAAUAAAAUGGAUCAAAAACAGAGUCACAAAAAGACACGUCAACAAAUCAUGUAAUCUUCAGCCAAUUUAAAGCGCAUUCUAAAAAAUCGUGAUUAUACAUAAUUCUAACCAAAUCACUUGCCAAAACAAGAAACACCACCUAUUCUUCUGCAAAACUUUGCUUAAACAACAAUCGCAAAAAUUAAAAACUGGUGAUCUUCUAAUGGAUGUAGCUAACAAAGAAGCAUUCAAAGGGAUCUAUCACAUUUCCCAGUUUUUCUUUUCCCACCAAUUAUCUGGAUUGGUGAGAGACUGAAAGGGAACAUAAAUUCAACUCAAUUUCGACUUUCCAGGACCUCGCGGCCGCCAUUUUGGUCCACAUGGAUCAGGCAAUUCCAUCUCUGAAUGCGACUUUGUCAACCGUGGCAUUCAAGUAAUUUCAGUAAAACACACGAUUACCUUGUAUUACGUGUUUCCCUGCCUCCAAAGCUCGCAAAACAAGUUCUAGCUGCGAAGUGCGAGGUUCAGAUCAUCACAAAUCUACGUCAAUAAUCUCAUUCAUGAAAUGCCCAUAAACACUUCAUUCCUGGAGAUGCUAUUUUCUUGUGCAUACCACCCAGGUGUUUCCCAAGCCAUAAGUAGACCGCGCCUGACAAAACUUCGGUCAAUACAAAUUGACAGGCAUCAAAUUCAGCGUACACAAAGACAGCAAAAAAACUCAUUACAGCAUUAAGAAAACCCAAAUUAAGACUAACCUGGUGCUGAGCAGGCAAAACUAUAGCGACAGCCUGAAUCGAUUUGUCUUGUAAAAUGGCCUCUAAACCUUCUUGACCCCACUUGGCCUCAACGUUGGGUGCAUAUGACCUAGCAGACAACAACGCCUUCUUUGCACCAUCCUGAUACCACAUACGAAUAACAAAACAUUUAUGGAAUCCCUUCCAUCAGCUCCCGCGCCUUUGAGUUCGGAAAAAACUAACACAACUUUGCCAACUUCAAUAAACAACGUUGCCAUUUUAUGAAAUAAACAUACCUCUGAUCGACUCCAUAUAACUCUCAGAGAAAUUACUUCACUUAAUUCUCCAAGUUUGGGCAGAUACUGGCUCGAGGCAAAUAUGCCUGAUCCUAACAGAGCCAAUCCCGGAGCUGUCUUCGCCAUUGUUUCUACCACGUUGCUCUUCUGUGAACCACCAAUAUCUGUCCACACCACAAAUCACAAGCCAUGCUCAAAAACUUAUCAACCUUCAAUGUAUCAGCUCAUUACUGCUAAGGACUUCAUACGUGCUGCUGCAACACUAGUGAUUGGGAUGUACUCCACAUGUCGUCUUUUCCUUCUUCUACUUACAAGCUUGUGAGACCAAUGCUUCUUUCAACCAUGAAUUCUCCACCUCCCCAUCCGCAUGCCAAUCUCUACCUACAACCCAGGCAUCUGAAACGCAGCACCCAUGAAUGACACGGCCUCACACAAUCGUCACUGAGUUGGUAGCUACCUACACAGACACAUAUGCCGCACAAAUGGUACAAAUGAUAGAACACUCCAAAUUGUGAUUCUGUAUCGACCUUCCAUUCCACUGUUGUGUCAGGGUGAUGUUUGCCACAGACUUCAUACACAAAUGAUAUCCUCACUCAAGCAUCUUCGAACUAUACAGCCUCCCACAAGCAACUCGGUCCAAUCAUUUCCCAGAGGCAACGUCCACAAAUUGCACUACAAAAGAGACGGAAUGCUAUUUACUUGCAAACAUGUUGCUUCGCCAACACCCCGUGACGCACCGCCGCCGGCGCUGGACGGAGAGCGUAAAGUGUGAAAACGGUCCUUCGUGAACAACCGACGAAAUCUCCACUACAUCACUCUCCGCAGCUUCUCGUCAAGACUGUUCUCCGUUCUUUCCCUCCGAUCGGAUCCUGCACAGACACGAGUUUGAGGACAGCCCCCGCACACUUCCAACCGUGCGGAGGUGAGACUCCACCCAAGGGUGUUGCAACAGGACGAUCAAAUGAAACUCCACCGCAUGACCCCAACCCAACGUUGUGAGGACUCGCAGAGAAUCACAAAGCACUCAGAACAUCCUCAACUCAUCGCCGUGAGCAAGCACAGGGCGGGGCACCAAAUCAAACUCGAACCCACACGACUGAAUGCUCUCCUUGCACGAAACAAAACCGAAAACUCUAAAGAGAAUUGAGGAGAAUUUCGAGACAAGCUUAGAGGUACAGCAGUUGUGUAUCAGUGGUUGUACCGCGGAGAACUCAUGGCGGAUCGAUUCUCGGAAGAGGUACAAUAACCAAGUGGCACCUUUCUAGCACCGACGCGCUGAUCGUUUGUGUGGCGUUGCCACUCCUCGCCCCGUCAUCCCGGUGAGCGUCCGCGGUGUUAAAUAGGAAAGAAAGAAGAAAGCAGAACAGCAACAAUCAACUUUUAUCGUCCUCUCUCGUAAGGUGUAUAUCACAAAGGUUGAUGACAACCUGAAGAAAUGUGAAAGGAAAUGAUCCUGAGUAUGUAAAUGUAACGGUUACUUUCUAACAUUCCCCCUUAAUCUACUAAUUUUUGUCUUCAUGUCCAUUAAUUCUGGACAUUUUAAAUGUUUGGGUUUUGGUAAAACUUUUGUCAAAGCAUUAGCAACCAUCUUUUCAGUUGGAUAGAAUUGCACAUUGUUAUUUUUAUGUUCAAUCUUUUCUCUAAGUUAAUAAUACUAUAUAUCAAUAUGUUUUGAUUGAUCAUGAUGGCAUGGAAUUUUAGAUAAAUUAAUUGUAGAUUGAUCAUCACAAUAUAAAGAUAAGGCAUUGAAUUGGUGAUAGACUAUGUCAAUUGGAUAGAAUUGCACAUUUUUUAAGGACUAUGUCCUUCAUUAAUUGUUAAUCCAAAUUGUAUCUUUGGUGGUUGAAGCACAAACUAUGUAUUUUGCUUGGAUAUAUGAUAAUGCUAUAAUAGGUUGGUGCCAACUUUGGCAAGAAAUAGCUCUAUUGGCCAAUGCAUAAUUAGAAGUGAUUCUUUGAGAGUCUUCAUUACUUGUCCACUUACUAUUAGUCCAAUCUUGAACUUGAUGUUGAUAAUCAUUAAAACUUUGUUCACUUUGAUAAAUUAUUCUAUAAUUUAAAAUACAUUUAAGAUAUUUCAUUAUACAUUUUAUUACAAAUCAAUGAGCUUAACUUAAAUUGGCCAUAAACUUGGCAACUUGGUCAACAACAAAAGCAAUAUCAGGCCUAAUAUAAGUCAUGGCAUGCAUUAAGCACCAUAUAGUAGUUGAAUAUAGAACAUCUUUCAUUUCUCUAUAUCUUUAGAAUCAAUCAAACUUAUAUCUUUAAUUAAUCUUAAUCCUACUUUAAUAGGGGUUGAAAUGGGCUUACAAUUAUGCAUGUUAAAUCUUGUAAGAAUUUUAGUUAUAUAAUUAAUUUUUAAUAAACUAAUGGAUUUUUUGAUUUUAUUGCAUUCAACAAUCAUAUCUAAGCAACCAUCUCUAAUUUCAAUAGAUCCUUUGUUGGUCAUUUCAAAGCGACUUGCUAAAAGUCUUUUAGUAAUAUUUAAGAAUUAUAUAUUAUUAUUAAUAUUAAUAGAAUUAUCCAAUAUGACAAACUUUUGAUGUACUAGCUCUCUUUUAAUAUAUAUAUAUAUAUAUAUAUAUAUAUAUUAAAAUCUAUUCUACCAUUAAAAAAUAAUUUUUAAUAAAAUAAUAGUUAAAUAAUUGAUUCUCCAUAUGUAAAACUUCUUUUAAUCUAUACAUACAUACAUACAUACAUACAUAUAUAUAUAUAUAUAUAUAUAUAUCUUACAAACUUUAUGCAAAAAGUGAGGGUCAAUAUAUCCUUUAAAUUGAGCCAUAUAAAUUUCCUUAUUCAAGUGAUUAUAAAGAAAAAUGGACUUAAAGUCCAUUCAAUGAAUAUGUAGAUUAUAAAUUGUGGCUAGAGAUAAUAAAAUAUAUAAUGAAUGUAUUUUUAUUACAAAAAAAUAUCUCCACAUAAUUAAUUUUUGUUUUUUUUUUUGUGAAGAAAUCUCUAGCAACCAAUCAAAUUUUAUAAUGGAUAAUUAUUCUAGUAGCAUAAUAUUUUCUUUUCAAAAUCCAUUUAUUACUUACUAUAAAGUGCCUUAAAGGAAGAUCCUCCAAGUCUAUGUAUUAUUUUUAAUUAAAAAUCUAAUAUGUCUUUCCACUUGAUAGCAUCUUCACUAUUUAAAGCUUCCAUAAUUGUAGAGGGUUCAUCAAAAUUAGCCAAAGUAGAUAAAUGAUUUUUAAAUUAGAUAUGAUCAUAAUAUUUAUUUGGUAUUUUUUCUUUUGUUGAUCUUCUAGACCUUCCUAGUAGAAGAGAUGACGAAGAUCUCAAAUUACUUGAAUCCACAUCAUUAAUUAUAUCAUCAUUAUUUAAUAAAGGAGUUUUAGAGGCAAUUAACAAUUUAGAAAAUAUUUUUUUAUGCUAUAUUUUACUUUGAACAUUAGUAUCUUUACUUUAAACAUUUUAAAAAUUAGUGUCAUGAAAAAACAUAAAAUCAUUAGGUAAUGUUGAUUGUAAAUAAUUAUAAGGGUGUUCAAGCAGAAUAGAAAUACUGUUUGAGGAUUGUUGUAAAAGAACAAUAUUUUGUGUAGUAGGUACUUUAAAUUGUGUUUCAGCUAAAGCAUCAAUAAUACUUUUGUUAUUAUUUUAUUUUUAUUUUGUAUUCAUUCAUUUCUUUGAGUAAAUAAAUCUUUUAGUAAGGCAAUUUCAUCAAAGAUAUCAUUUUGACUGACAAGAUAUUUUCUUAUAAUCUAUCAUAUAAUAGAUAACCUUUUAUGUCUUGUAAUUUAUCAUAGCCAACAAAAAUACAUUUAUUACUUUUUAUAUUAAGCUUGUGUUGGUGCUCAUUAGAAAUAUGUGUAUAUGUUAUAUACUCAAAGAUCUUCAAAUGACUUAUAUGAGGUGUAUUACCAUACUAUAUUAUCAAAGGAAUCAUUGAAUCUUCUAAUGCAUUUGAGAAGAUUCUAUUUUCUUAAUUAUAAGCUGUGGCUAUAGCAUCUACCCAAAAAAAUUUGGAUAAUCUAGAUGUAUGAAAUAUACAACUAGUGGACUUUAGUAAGGUUCUAUUCUUUUGCUUCCUAACAUCUUUUUUUUUUUUUUUUUUUUUUUUGGUGUAUUGAAUUGUUAAUUGACAUAUUAUUUCAUAUUGAACAAAAAUAUUAUUAGAUUCUUUUGAUAUUUAUUCUCCACCAUUGUUAGAGUGUGAAGUCUUAAUUUUAUAAUUUGUAUGAUUCUUUGUAUAAGCUUGAAAGGUUUGAAAUACCUCAAAUUUAUGCUUUAAAACAUAUAUUGCUGUGAAUCUCAAAUAAUCUUCAAUACAGAUGAAAAAACAAAUAAAUCCUUUAAUAGAUUUAAUUUGGAUGAGACUACGUAUAUUGGUGUGAAAAAACUUAAGUGGUUUUGAAGCACAGAGAGUUUUAUCUUUGAAAAAGAAAUUUUUAUGUUGUUUUCCAACUAAAUAACUUUUGCAUAAGAAAAGAUGUGAUAUAUUUAUUGGAAUAUUUAUGUCAAAUUUAUUUAUGUCCUUCAUUACAUGUUGAUUGACAUGUCUUAAAUAAUGAUGAUAUUUAAUAGUUUUUUUUGUAGUUAUUUUACUUAUUUUUAGUGAUUUUAAUUGUUUAAAGUUAGGAUGUUCAAUCUCCAAUGGAUAGAAAUUGUUGACUUGAAUAUUUCUCAUUACAAGAAUAUUUUUUGUUGCUAGAAUAUAUUUUAAUAUUACAAAAAAUAUAAAAGAACUUAAUACUUUUACAUUGAGUAGUGGCUAAAUAUACAAACAAUAAUUUUUUUAGCUAAAGCUAGUAAAUAUAAAACUUUUUGCAUGUUUGUAAUCUUAUCAUAUUUUAAUUUAACUUGCACGAUACAUUUGCCAAUGGCUUGGUGCACUUUAUUAUCUCCCAUGUAUAUAAUUAAGGGAGGAUUUUAAAUCUGAUAUGAUGUAAAUCACUCCUUAAUUGGUGUCGUAUAACAUGUUGCUUAAAUGUCCAAAUAUCAAAUAGAUAAAUUUGUAGGUUCAUCCUUAUUAGUAACAAUAAAUGAAUGAAGUGUAUUUGGUUUUGUUGAAUUUAAAUUUAAAUUUCUACUUGAAAUAAUAUUGGCUUGAAAUUUGUAUGUACCAUGAGCCUUUUCACAUGCAAGAAUUCUACAACUAGGUCGUUCAUGUCUUGAUUUACCACAAUAAUGUCAUAUUAAUGAUUUUUAAGAAUUUAUUUGAUUAGAACCUUAUGCUUAUGCUUUAUGUAGUUUAUUUGUUGAUAUGUUUUUCUUAUAUUUAUAAUUAUUCAAUUUUUUUUUUUUAAAUUGUUAAUUUUUUGUUCACUUCUUACCAAAAAAGCCCUUGAUUUGGUUGUUACCUUAGGACUUUAUUUAGAAUCUUUAUAAUUUAGCAUUGCAGCUUCUUUUAAAAUUCUUGAAAUAAAAUUUGAUGGAGUUUUUUUUGACAUGGAAUCUUGUAAUGUAACAAAAGACUUCCAUGAAGGAUCAAUUUUUUUAAUAAUUGUACAUAUUUUUUUUUCUUUAAAAAUAAUAAGUUUGAUACCAAAACUUCACUAAGAAUCCUUUAAUAAUUAUAAUGUAGCUCUUAGAUCAAAUUUCAAAAAGCUAAUUGUUCCAUUUCCCAAUAAGAAAAAUUGCUUGACUUAGUUUUUCACAAUCAAGUAAAUUUAACUAAAUAAAAAAAAAUGUUAAAAUCUCACUAGAAGUUAGAUCUAAGCAUGUAUUGCUAUAUUUCAUUAAUAAUCUCUAAACAUCAAAUGCUUUAAUUUUUUAAAAAAUCUAACAAAGGCUAUCACGACUAAAAUAUUUUAUUUCAAGUAAAAAAUUUUAAAAAACUAAAUAUAUGUACUUUAACAUCAUUUAAAAAUUAAAAUGGUUAUAUAUAUAUAUAUAUAUAUAUAUAUAAAAAAAAAAAAAAAAAAAAAAAACAUGUCAAGAAAUUUUUAUACUUAGGAAAGAAGAUAAGAAGCCACAACUUUCAUGGACCCUCAUAUCACGGCCUUUCAAAAACAACUUCUAUAAAAGACUCAAUGUAAAACUAAGGCAAUGAUUUUCCAUGAGUACAAACUAAUUAAUAUGGAACAGAGAGAGCCCCUCAUCAGAACUUCACGCUGGCCACGUCCUUACGACACCACGUAAAAGUACGAAUGCCUGCAGAUUCAGAGUCGUGAAGCCCGUAAUCCAGGGUCAUGUCCACUCCGUAUAGAACUAGCAACUUUUCUUCCGCACGAUCACAUCCCAUUCUGAUAUUCAGUUGUUUAUAUCUUCGAUUGUGUGUUUAGCACCAUAGCCGUUCAGUAUUAUCUCAGUCGUUGCCUCCUCCUGCACCGUUUUCUCCAGCGCCCACUCAAUACGACUGUCGCGAAUCCCCGCGCACUCUGAGCCAGGUAACCAACGUGCAGUUUGGACAGUAAUGCGAUAUCGGCAUCCAUAAUCACUGCGUACUUUAACGGCGGCGCGGUUGCUUUGCGAGUGAACUGACAGCGGACUAACUCGCACGUCGACCACUGACCACAGAAUGGUCGAAAGGGAAGAAUGUCCGAGGCCAGAUCAUGUUCCUUGAAUGGGCAAACCAACCAACUAGCUAACUAUCUAUCUAUCUGUUCAAGUUUGAGACUCUCCCAAAACAUUCGAACUUGCAUCCACAAUCCUACAGACUGCAGAUGUUGAAAUCCAUGCCAACCAUCCAGACAUUGUACACCAGCGAGUCACGAUAAUUUACAACAUCAGGGGUCCUGGUCCGUACUUCACAAAAGUUUCCCCAACAUUGCUCCCAAACUCGUCGCCCACAGGUCUGCAAUCGGUCUGCAAUCGCACAGAGCUCAUUACAUCACGAAUGUAUCGGGCGUGCACUUUGACUGCGAGCUCUCUAAGUGUGGACCCGAGCAGAAAUAAAUGGAGCUUGCGGAUGUGGGUCCAAUUCAUACCUUCGCACCCAACAGCUCAAACGCUCCUAGGGCUCCUCGCACCAUUUCUUGGUGGCUAGAUACCUGUGAAGAUGUAGCCAGUCCCGGUCUCCUUGCGGAGGCUUGCACUGUUGCUGCUCGUGGUCUGCUUGUCUAGCCUUGUCAGGAGGAGACCACCUUCGCAGCAUUCUUGCGAGAGAAAAGUUUGCUGAUUGGUUCCCCUAUCGCAAUCCAUUCUAUCGGUACGAUGGACUCAUGGCAGCGGCUAAUUCGUUCCCCUCGUUCGCAACCAAGGUAAGUCCGGCAGCACAAAAGCGAGAAGUUGCAGCAUUCUUCGCGCAUGUUAAGCAAGAAACAGACGGUACUGAGUCUGCCAUUGCUGCAGCAAGCGUCUUCACCUGAUGGUGGUCGAUGGAUGGCGUGUGUUACACAAGAACGGCUUCGCGAUUUCGGUUUACGAGAAUGACUGUUACAUUCAUUCAACUUCGAUGUGGAAACAGCUUGAGAAUGUGGAUGCGAGUACCGAACCUCACGCUGCCAAUUGAUGUCACGCUACCAAUUGAUGUGAUGCAGUUCUAAUAUGAUGGCAUUAUCAGCCCGUGCUGAAGUCAUCACCUCUACGAACGCUCUCGUCCAUCCUUGUCUCUCUCGUUUGUAUUUGAAAACUAUCGAUGUGCCUCAUUCUAAUUGUAGACCAAGAUUGCCCUCAAUGAAUAUAUUGAAUCACUUUGUUAAUAAAGCCCUCUUCAUUCCAAACAACUUUGUGUGACGUUAGCAAAAUGAUAUUAGAGCUUAGGUUUAGGGCUGCAAUACUAGAUUUAGAUAGCAAAAGAGAUUUCUUCUCAAAUCAAUAGUUGAUAAGUGAUAGUAGUCAAAAGUUAAGAAACCACUAGUAAAGAAACAAUGGGAGAUAUCUCAAAGAAAGAAUAUUAAGUUGUGAGGUUGACAACAAUAGUAGGGUGAUAGGACUAGAGAACUUGAAUAUUUGGAAAGUUCAAAAUGAUGGCCAUACUAAAGAAAAAGAACCUAAUGUUUUUAGUGGUAGAAAAGAGUAGUUCAAAAGUAUUUUUGGCUACAAUAGGAGAUAGAGCUUAUACAAAAAUUGAAUUGUAAGAUGCCAAACAAUGAAUUCAAUUUAAGAUUAUACUAUCCAUUAUAAACAAUCUAUUAAGCACAAUGUCUCAAUAUAAUAAUCUAAUUGACUCUUAGAAGAUAUUCAAGAUGAUAUUUCAAUUAAGAUAUCAACAACAGAUUAUGCUCUUUAGUGAUAAACUGAACAUUAAAAUCAUGAAUAAAAGAGGCAACAUCCACACAUAUCUUACGAAAGCAAUGGACAUACAAAAUCAACUCAAAGCAUUUGAAGAGACUAUUUAAGAUAAAAUUUUUAACAACAUAGUACUCAAUAGCCUUUUCCAAAGCUAUAAGAUGGUCAUUCAAGAUAAAAUCUAUAUCCCAAAUCUAUUCUUUGAAGAAGACAUAGAAAAAUUGUUAAUAAAAUUUUAUAUGAUGUAUAUUUGAGACAAAAAAAUUUGGUUAGAAAAGGACCUUUGCCAUUCAAUUUUAAUAAUCGUUAUUUGGUUUUAGAAGCUAGUAUAUAAUUUUAGUAAGAAAAAAGAAGGAACUCUAGUUGUAGAAGCCCUAGACAAUACCAAAUAUUUUGUUGAGCAGUUCCAUAUUAUAGAGGACCAUCAUCAAUACUUAAUGCACUAAAUUUCAACAAAGGCCAAUCAAGAAGGUAGAAGCUACUUAUCCAAAUAUUCUAUUAUGGACUAGUUCAAGAACAUGCAAGUAAUAUACUACUAUAAUUGUGGCUGCUAAGGUAACAUCACUAAAGAUUGUAAUACAAGAUCUUAAAAUAAUUCUUUAACAUACUAUUUUACAAAAUAUAACAUUAUAGAACUUGUAAACACAUCAAUAGAAGAAAAGAAUUUAUAAAUUAUCAUAAUCAAAGUUAAUAUACGGACUUUGAAGCUUCAAAUAAUUUUACAAGAGAAAGAAUAAGAUUAGAGAUAGUAGACUUAUAAUCUUUUAAUAGAAAUAUAAAAAACUACAAAUAAAAAGAAUCAAAAGAUAGAUACUUUUGGAUCUUCCCAUUUACAAAUCAAUUUGAAAUUAAUGAAAUUUUAAAAUACUUAUUAUAUAUAUUAAUCACCAAAAAAUCUAAUCUUAGUUGGUUUGCUAAUAGAUGACAAUGUCAUGUUGUUAGGGACAUAGUCUUUAGAACCUUUUAGAGACAAGUUUCUAGAACCUUCUAGAAGCAAGUCUCUGGAACCUUCUAGAAGCUUCCUAGUUGAUAAAAGUUGCUUGAGAAGUUUCCUAAAUAGGAGUAUAUAUUGGAAUUGAGGCUGAAGAGUUCUUCAGUCUCGACAACACAUCUUUUGGAGCUCUAGCUCACUUUUCUGGUGUUGUUCUUGUAUUCAUCUGAUUAAUCUAGUUCUUGCCAGUUCUUCUUGAACUUCUUAUUAGAUCUCGAGCCUGUAUUUCUGUGUCCGUGACAGUUUGUCGAGAUUGCACUCACCUCAGAUAUCAGAGCUAGUUUCUUCCUCGUUAGAGUGCGGAUUAUCCCUUUACUUGGAAGUGUACUAGCAUUUUAGAAGUUGCAGAUUAUCCUCCUCUAAACUGAUACUUCUUUUGUUACAAUAUUGGAGUCUUAUUCUUCUUGGAGAGAGUGGAUUAUCCAUUUUCUUGAAGCUCUUAAGGCAUUUUAGAGGUUGCGGAGUAUCCUUCUUUAAACCAACUUUGUCUUCUUGUAGAGUCAUUUCUGUCCUUCUCUUAGAAUGGCCGGAGGCCAAGACAUUAGUAUGACGAAAAGUUCAGAGUCCAAGUUGGAUGCUAUCAAAAAUGCCCUCGCUACGUUAUCACAAAGAACUGCAGAGAUUGAAGGAGUCGUGGCAAGGCUUUAUAAUGAUGGAGCAUCUGGGAUGGCACAAUCUAGGUUGCACUAGCCUCAAACUUUUGCACUUGGAGAAGCAACUUUGCCUCAGGUUCGACAAGCACUACUAGUUCUACAACAUAAGAAGCCCCGAGUUAGCCUUCCGGACAAGUUCGAUGGUACGCGUUCCAAGUUUCGAGGAUUCAUCAACCAAAUCAGGUUGAUAACAGUUUUACAGCCCAAACGCUAUCCAACGGAGGAGUCACAUGUUGGGCUUAUUGGAACCUUACUUACAGAGCAAGCUCUAUCAUGGUUUGCUCCUUUGUUUGAGAAACGAUCGUCCAUACUAAACAACUUUGAAAUCUUUUUGGAGGCGUUUGCGAAAGCAUUUGGUGAACACGACAAGGUUCGAUGGACUACAACAAAGAUCCGAUCACUACAACAAGGGAUGCGCUUUACAUCAGUCUAUGCAUCGGACUUCAGGCAAUUUGCAUGCGACAUCAAUUGGGAUGAAGAAGCGUUGAUGAGUCAAUUCUAUUAAGAUUUAAGGGACGAUGUGAAGGAUUUGCUGUUAACUCUUCUUGAUCCGCAAAUGCUCAACGAAGCUAUUAACCAAGCUGUAAAGUACAAUAAUCGCCUAUUCCAACGCCACCAAGACUAACGUUCAAGACAACAUACGAUUCACCACGCCCCAACUAUGUUGACAAGCAGCAUGAAUUCACAUUCAGAGAUAGAAGUCAUGCAAAUUGAUGCGGUACGUGUCAAAUUUCUUACUCUAGAAAAAAAAAACAGCGCAUGGAAGAAGGUCUAUGCUUGUAUUGCGGUGAAGAACGCCACAAAGUUGGAAACUGUCCCAAAAAGUAAAAUCAACGUAUUGUCAAGACUAGGAGUGUAUUUGUUCAAGAAAACGAGGAUGCCCAGCCACAAUAGGAACCAUGCGGCUGGACAGUGAAAUAUCGCAACAACAACCAGGUUCCUUUCUUUCCGCUCAACCUGCCCUUUGCUUUACAAACUCUUAGCUUAUUGGUCCUCAGAAACUGAGAACCUUAGCAUUAUUAGAUUCAAGAGCAUCUGCUUGUUUCUUAGACGAAGAAAUUGUGAAGCGUCAUAAGAUCCCUUUAGUACAAAAAUCCAAACCUGUUCACGUUGAGGUCAUAGAUGGGUGACCUUUACUAUUUGGUAGUGUCACCUAUGAAUCAGAACCUAUAGAAGUGUCGUUUAAGGGCCAUAGUAGUCAUACUAUUUUUAAUAUUAUUAGAACUCCAUCAAAUCCAGUUAUUCUUGGUCUUUCAUGGUUGGAAAAACAUAACCCAUCGAUAGAUUGGAGGUUGCAGAAGAUGACCUUGCUUACAAAACCACCCAAGAGCAAGCCUAGUAGAAAACCCCGAAUAGAAAAAUCUUUAUUCAUUAGAGCAAGAGCGUUUAUUAGAUCGUCUAAGGAAGGCACACCGUUUGUCAUUUAUGCGGCUCCAACUACCAGGGAGAAGAUCUCGACAGCAACUAUACCUGAGCAAUAUAAGGAUUUUAAAGACGUGUUUCAAAAGAAGAAUGUCGACAUGCUAUCAGAACACUGACCAUACGAUUGCACCAUAGACUUGUAGGAAGGGAUACAACCGCCUUUUGGCCCAAUCUACAAUCUAUCGCAGACGGAGUUGGCAGAGUUGCAGAAGUAUAUCGACGAGAAUCUAGCCAAGAACUUCAUUCGUCAUUCAAAAUCGUCAACUGGAGCAUCCAUCUUAUUUGUGAAGAAGAAAGAUGGCUUGUUGCCGAUGUGCGUGGACUAUCGAGGCCUCAACAAGGUAACAAAGAAGAAUUGUUAUCCGUUACCCUUGAUUUCUGGUCUCUUAGAACAACUUGGAUGUGCAAGGAUCUUUACAAAAAUUGAUUUAAGGGAAGCUUACAACCUCAUACGAAUCAAGGAAGGAGAUGAGUGGAAGACAACGUUCCGUAUAAGGUAUGGCCAUUUUGAGUAUAAUGUCAUGCCCUUUGGUCUUACCAAUGCUCCAGCAAUCUUUCAACCUAUGAUGAAUGACAUUUUCCGAGAGCACCUUGACGAUUUUGUUGUCAUCUAUUUAGAUGACAUUCGAAUAUUCUCCAAAAACGAGGAAGAGCAUUAAAAGCACGUUCGUUUGAUCUUGGAGAAACUACACGAGCGAGGACUAUAUGCCAAGUUGGAGAAGUGUUUAUUUCACCAAAUAGAGAUGGAGUUUCUAGGGUUCAUUGCGACUACGGAAGGCUUGAAGAUAGAUCCCAAGAAGGUGGAAGCAAUGGUGUCUAAGGAGGUUCCAAAGACGGUUAGAGACGUACAAUGUUUUCUUGGUUUUGCCAACUUCUAUCGGAUCUUCAUCAAGAAUUACUCUCAAGUUGCUGUUUCUCUCACUCGGUUGACGUGCAAGGAUAAGCUGGAAUGGGGACGUCUAGCGGAGAAGGCGUUUGAAGACUUGAAGACUGCAUUUACUACGGCUCCAAUCUUGGUACAUCCAGACUUUACAAAGGCCUUUUAUUUGGAAAUUGAUGCUUCGGAUUUUGCUUUGGGAGCUGUACUUUCACAAAUGGGAGAAGACAAGAAGCUCCAUCCGGUUGCAUUCUAUUCUCGAAAGUUCUCUGCUAUUGAAAUCAAUUAUGAGAUCCACGAUAAGGAACUUCUUGCUAUAGUGGAUUCUUUCCAAGAUUGGCGUCACUUUCAUGAAGGAGCUGCACACCCAAUGACCGUAUACACAGAUCACAAGAAUUUGGAGUAUUUCAUAUCGACUCAAGUUCUAAAUCGACGUGAAGCUCGGUGGAGUAUGUUGCUAUCUAGUUCGAUUUUGUUACCACUUAUCGACCUGGAAAGCAGCAAGGACUAUCUGAUGCCUUAUCGAGGAGAUCGUAUCUUGUACCAAAGGUUGAAGAAGCAGCGUUUGAUCAACAAUGUACGACAUUAUUGAAGCCAGAGCAAUUUUAGCUUUGUGCUACUAUUGUGCCAAUUGAUGCUGACUUCCUGAAUCAAGUACGUGCCGUGACCAUUGAAGAUUUAGUAGCCAUUGAUAUUAAGCAGCAUGCCAAUGAUGACAAAUUCAAGGUGGAGGGAGAUCUUUUAUACUUUGAGGAGCGGUUGUACGACUCCGAGUUCUUUAAUCUUGCCACGAUUUUCCAACUGCGGGACAUUUUGGAUUCAACAAGACCUUGGAGCUUAUUUCUCGAGAUUUUUGGUGGCCCCAAAUGUGGAAGGAUGUGAAAGUUUUUGUCCUCUCCUAUGACAUUUGUUCAAGAUCCAAGAAUCCUGAGCAUCGCCUUUAUGGACUCCUACAGCCAUUGCCGAUUCCACGUCGACUAUGGUCUUCAGUUUCCAUGGACUUCAUCAUAGAUCUGCCAUCAUCGAACUCAUUUGAUAGCAUCUUUGUCAUAGUAGAUCGGCUUACAAAGAUGGCGCACUUUGUCCCUUGCAAGAAGACAUCAUCCAGUGAAGUCACAGCAAGGCUCUUUCUUGAUAAUGUGUAUCGAUAUCAUGGACUACCAGAUGAUAUUAUAUCAGAUCGAGGAACCCAAUUCGUAUCAAAGUUUUGGAGAUCUCUCUUUGAGAUACUGAAGGUGGAUAUCAAGCUUUUUUCGGCUUUUCAUCCUCAAACUGACGGCCAAACGGAAUGAGUGAAUCAAGUCUUGGAACAAUACUUAUGAUGCAGCAUCAACUAUCAGCAAGACGAUCGGACCACAUAUCUGCCGCUAGCCAAGUUUGCAUAUAACAACACCCUCUAUACGUCGACUCAAUACACACCAUUCUUUUCCAACUAUGGGUAUCAUCCGAAGCUUGAUUUAUUGAGUCCAUCAACAAAUAACAAUCCAACAGCUGAAGGAUUUGCGAAACAACUAUCAGAGCUUCAAAAUAUGUUGAAGCUUGAAUUACAAUGCGCUCAAGAAUCCUACAAGGCGUUUGCAGAUAGAUUUCGGAAUCAAGCACCUACUUUCAAAGUUGGAGAUAAAGCAUGGCUUCUUCGACGGAAUAUCAAGACCAAGCGACCAUGUGAUAAGUUGGACUAUUGAAGAUUGGGACCAUUUAUCAUCUAAAAACAAAUCAAUCCAGUGGCGUACCGUCUGGAAUUACCGGCUUCUAUGAAGGUACAUCCAGUCUUUCAUGUUUCUCUGUUAGAGCCUUAUCGAGAGUCGUCUUUUCCUGGAAGAAUGCAAUGUUUACCACCUAGUAUUGAGAUUGAGAACCAUGAGGAAUAUGACGUUGAAAAGGUACUAGAUUCACGGCGAAGAUGGGACAAGUUGGAGUAUCUUAUUCAUUGGUACUGCUAUGACAUUAAUAAACGAACGUAGAAGCCUGCUGAAAAUCUUGCCAAUGCACCACAAAAGGUACAGGAGUUUCAUCAACAACAUGUUCAUAAACCUAAGUCGGUUCGACGAUAGCUUCCUUCUAAAGCUUGCUCAUCCAAAAAUAUAAGAAAGGGGGAGAGCACCACCAAAAUUCACAGUUGAUGUAGUUAUUUUCUCCAAGAUAAAGUAGACAUUUUUCAGUAGCCAUAGUUUGGUCUUCUGAUAUGGAUAGCCAAGAGAUAGAUACUAUGCCAGUUAGAUUAUCUCAACCGACUAGCUCACGAAGGCGACUUCGAGAUGAAAAAUCACCUACACCACGAGGACGACGGAGGAUACCGAGUAACCGAUCAUUGGUGAUUGAAUUCGAGUUCGAGCCUGCUUACGAUGGUCAGCCAGAAGGCGUAUUUGCAGGACAAUUUCACAAUGAGGACACGGAAGUUCAUGCUUGGUCAGAAGUUGAAGGAAUGGGCUACUACCGUUGGCUUCAAGGGCCAAUGAACCACUUGCCUCGUGAACAACAGUUGGAAUUCAUAGUAGAUGUUAUGCAACAGAUCUUCAUUUUCUUGCGUUGGUACUCAUUAACAACAACAUUGCUUCUCAGAGACCUCGAAGCUAAAGGAGGGGGCAAUGUUAGGGACAUAGUCCUUAGAACCUUCUAGAGACAAGUUUCUAGAAUCUUCUAGAAGCAAGUCUCUGGAACCUUCUGGAAGCUUUUUAAUUAGUAGAAGAUGUUAGGGACAUAGUCCUUAGAACCUUCUAGAGACAAGUUUCUAGAACCUUCUAGAAGCAAGUCUCUGGAACCUUCUAGAAGCUUCUUAAUUGGUAGAAGUUGCUUGAGAAGUUUCCUAAAUAGGAGUAUAUAUUGGAAUCCAGGGUGAAGAGUUCUUCAAUCUCGACAAUACAUCUCUUGGAGCUCUAGCUCACCUCUCUGGUGUUGUUCUUGUAUUCAUCUGAUUAAUCUAGUUCUUGCUAGUUCUUCUUGAAUUUCUUGUUAGAUCUCGAGCCUGUAUUUCUGUGUCCAUGACACAUGUAGUAAUACAACCAUUAGGUGAAAGAAAAAGAAAGUUGUAUUAAAAUUCAAAUUGCAUUCUUCUUAUUAAGGUGAAACAUAUUAAAAUUCUUGGAUACUUGUAAAAUACAAUCCCACCUUCCAUAGCCAGAUGCCUGGUGCAUUUUCAAAUAGGAUGACACAUAAUAUGAUAGUGUUUUGAUUGUUUACAACUCAUGUCCUUAACAAUUGGGCAAGUGAGUGUCUAUGUAAUAAAAGAAAGGUGUAUACCAAUUUUAUUUUAUUUUUAUUUUAUUUUUUAAAUGUUAAAAGAAAUAAGACAAAUAAAAACUUUCAAAAACAUUAAUUUUAGAUGUACUUAGAAAAAACAAUUAUAUUAAGGAUCAACAACAAAAGAAAGAAAUUAAUAUGCAUAUAAAUGUGUUUAAUUUUGGAUUCAUCUUAUUAUAUUUCUUAUAUAACAAUGCUCACAAACUUUAUUAUAAUACAUGUUAUUGUAUAAAACUUAUUAUUUAUAAAAAUUUUAAAAAAUUGAUAUUUUAAGAAAAAUAUACCACUUAUAUAAAGAAGCUUAUAAAUAUAUAUUAAUUAUAAGAACUUUAAAAUAUUAUUUAAAUGAGAAAAUUUUGAAUAAAUUUGAACACAAUAUGAGAUUAUCUUUAUUUGAUUUUGUAAUUACAUAUUUUAAUUUAAAAUAAAUAUUUUUUAAAAUAUUUAAUUUUAUAAAUUUUAUUAUUAAACUCUGUAUUAAAAUAAAUUUUAUUAUAAUUUUACUGAAUGUAUAUAUAUAUAUAUAUAUAUAUAUAUAUAGGUAUUCAUCUAGUAUGUACCUAUCUAAUAUGUUUGAAUAGUUAAUAUACAUGUAUAUAUAAUAAUAGUAAUAACUUAAAAUUUAUUAUAAAUAAAAUGUAACUUUUGUUUUUAUUUAUAUCUUUUUGAAAAUGAUAUUAAGAUAGAAAAUAAAAUGUUUAUACAUACAUGCAUACAGCUUUAUGUGGUUAGAGUUUCAUCGUAGUUUUACACAAUGACUAUAUUUGAUUUAAAGAAAAUUCUUCUAUCUAUUAAUCUAUUUAUUGAAAAUCCAAUUUUUGUUUUUGUUUUUUUGUUACUAUAGUUAGAUGUCACGGAGAGCGACGGGGUUCUCUGUCACGGAGAGCGACGCCUGGUCCUGGUACACCCGUGACCCGUCUUUUUGCUCACUAACCCCGCCGCCCCUUCCACGUCCUCCCCGCGCGAAGCUUCCUCCAGGACCACGUGAAGAAUGUGGAGCCACAUUGGCGAUAUCUCAUUCAUGAGGACCCGUCGCGAUUGCUGAGCUGGAAUGAGGAUCAGCCCGCCAAAACACACUGAAAAUCAGUCAACGAGACGCAAAGCCAUUAUCAGUGAUAAAAACUACACGUGUGAUAUUUCAUCAUGAUUCCAAGCAUCCUUUAUCGACGAACUACGUUCAUCCACAUUCAUUAUUUUUGUGAUGGAAUGGGCAAGCUUACGUCCCAUUUACAACAAGAAUGGAAAGCAGCCUUGGGAGGACAUUCUGUUGCCUGGAAUGCCCGUUUUCGAGGCUGAUGUGAUCCGAGGAGCGGCUUCGUUAUGGAAGCUGAAGGCUCGCCGCACAGCGAUCGCGUUCGUCGUCUGAACGCGCGCACAAGAAGGCGGAUUGUUUUUGAAAGCGUCCAGGAUGCGGGCGGAUACAGCCUUCGGAAUGUUGUGAGAUCUAAUGAACUGCGGGGUUUGCACCGUUUCAACCAGGAACAAGAUGAGUCCAUCGGAAUGUGAGCUUGUCGCUGUGGAACCCCAGUGGUUGGAAGAAUCGCUUGUGUUUCGGCGUUCGACGAAGAGAUACGGAACGUUCCCCAGGCUUAAAUAUUUCUCCAGAGAUAGAAAGCUGGGCUUUUCUGGGGGUUGUCUGUUUCUUGACCAUAGGAAGAUGCUUGACUUAUUCUUUUCGAUGCAGCUGCUAGUCUGAUCUGGAAUGUGCUUUGUGGGUUCAAUCUGCUUCAAUGGCCACAAAGUCGCUUUUCCGUUUUGAUUUCGAUAGAUCAUUAAUGGUAUUCUGGCAGAAAGCAAGUUAGAUCUUAAAAUCUUAAAUAAAAAGUGUUUGUUGACUUUGGUGAAAAAGCUGUUAGACAUAUUUAUGGGAAGCAUGAAACUAGAAGCAUGAAACCAAGGAAUGCCAUGACAGUUAGUAUAAAUUACAUAUGUGUAUAGAUAUGUGUAUAUAUAUAUAUAUAUAUAUAUAUAUAUUUACUCAAAAGAAAGAACAGGAAGUAAAAUUUUGUUUCUAGUCAUGUUUACAGAACCUUAGAGCAUCAUAGAUAUGAUUUACAUGGGUUUGGAUUCAUGUUUAUGUUUGAGCGAAUCGAAGUUCACGACGGAAGGGCUCUCGCUCGUGUGCUUCAUUCGGGAUAGUAUUCCUUCAAACAUUGUCAGUUUAGAAGACCGGGCUUUCAAUCAUAUGCUGAACGUAAAUUAGGCUGCCUUCACUAGUCAUGCACAGACGUGCGCUAAAGCUCUGAGCGGGCACUUAGUACACAAAGUCAGUAAUCCACGGCGUUACAACUCACAACAGGAGACAGUCUGACAUGCAAGGUCAAGCGUGUUUUCAGGUUAGUCGUUAUCAUGUACCUCAUAAAAAUGUGGAAAUUUCCACAUAAAAUCAGUUAGCUCUGCCAAUCGACAGAACCUCUCUAUCCCAUUGGUAGCAAUACGCAAAUCGUGUGAGAUGAUGAACUUCGGGCGGGAUAACAGCGGGAUCAGGAACUCUUAAAAUCUGCUGAGUCAGUCAAAAUAUCAGAACAUUCUCAAGAAUGCGUCAUGAUGUCGCAGCCUUAAUUGCAUCACAUGUUCAGAUUUCAGGCUGACGCAUAACAAUUGUGUGAGGCAACAAACUGGAGUAAGGUUUCCAACAAAAACGAAAGUCUGAGCAACCGAGAGCUUCAGUGAUGUGUCCAGUCGAUCUGAUCGACAGGCAGAUGAUGGCUAGGCCAGCAUGCCUGUGCUUCGCAGGUUUCAGAAUGUGCGGUGGCGAUGCUAUAGCUCUUAGAGGAAAACCUUCAACCUUGUGGAAUUGAAAAAGAGAGGUGGGGUCUGGAAGAAAGGCCGAGAAGUUCAUGAGAAAAACAGGAUUCAAACUGCAUGCAGUGACGAUGGAGCAUGUGGCCUAAUAGACUUUUCUAACAAGACCACAAAGUCCAGCAUCAUCAACGUCUCCAACCCAGAGAUCUGCUAGGGUAUCUUACCACAUCCCCCCGCGUCACCACAGUUCCUAGCCGCCAGUUGCAUUGUCUUAGUACCCGUCGUCAAAGGCUCUUAUCAAUCCGGCCAAGCUCCGCCUUAUCAACGCCGCCAACUUUUUAUGUAUUUAUGUUUGGCCUCGUCCAGUCCUAAUUUGCGGAGCAGUACUGUUCAUAUUAGUGACCAGGUCUUCAAGGGCCAUUUCAUCUACCAUCGGAAGGGAUCUGAGAGGAGGCAUGCGGUUUGAGUGUCGGCUUUCUCGCGUUUCAUUUUUUCCUGUCAGAUUGCAUGCAGCGUUAGGUUCUCAUCAGUUCGAGUUUGUGGAACGUUUAGCCUUGCAGUUAAAGAGACAGUAGCUGAAUUGGCGACUUUGUCAACUGGGUUGCAAGAGAGCGAGAGAGCGUGCGCUUAGUUUUCCCUCGGCGUUGAUAUCUCCGAGGCCCGCGGUGUGGUCAGCACGGCCCCUUGCUGCAACAACUAGGAAAAUAUCUUUGCCGUAGCGCCUUCCUGUGGUCCUUGUUGCGUAAUCCUGAAGCACUCUUGCAAAAAUUUCAUGAACCUUAGAUGCACAGCGCUCAAUAUUAACCUUUAGAAGGUUUCAAAGAUUAGUAAGGGUUUUUGUACCUUUUGUGACCUCUGAAAUCAAUUUGAGGUAAAGGUGGCUCUGGUGAAGCCUGAAUACCACAGUACCCUUGAAUUUGUCGUCGAAUACUUCGUCCACACAGAGCAUUGAAUUUGUGUAAGAGAGACCCUCUCCUAGUAAGAUUCCGUGGGAAUUUAUGAUCCAAAUGUGCAUACAAGAACAAAAAGAAUUCCCUUCCUAGAACUUGGAGCCUCGAUCGCUUGAAGGUGAAUUGUCAAUUUCGAGAAAUUUCAGGUUGAGGUGCGUUUGAGUCCAGUCGGUACAUGAGAGUACUGCUGGAUAAGUUGUCAAGUAAAAACGAUCGCAAGAGCCCGUCGGUAAAAGUGGACCUUGAUCCUGCGAAAGGAGACUACAUGUGUGAAUGCACCAGUGCAGUGCCGAUUCAAGAGGCCCGAUGCUUCGGAAGUCGAUGUACUAAUGCGGAAAGCGUUAAAAUCCAUGGUCACCAGGUUGUCCUUCCCUGCCAUACCACGCCUUUACUAUCUUGCAAUCCUCUCUCACCUGUCUAAGCUGCUUGUCGGGGUUUCCCAAAAGCGAACAGUUCAUCUUGUCCGUUAUCCUCUUCUAAAAGUCCCGGUAGUGUCAAAGCCAAUCAUACCGUGUCCAAUCGAGAACAUUCAUAUUCAUAUGUAUUAGAAAACCAAGGAGAACAGGAGACAAGUCUGAGUUUGGCCUGCGUUUCGAAAGUGAAGUCCUGAGUGUGAGAAAGCUUCUUCAGAUACUUGUAACAUUUGGAAAAACUCGCUGCGUCUUCGGAGUUUACCAGAACUGUGGUGAACAUGGAGUUAGGCCGAGGAUCUAUUGACCAACUACAAUUACCUCCAGGGUUCCGGUUCCAUCCAACCGACGAGGAGCUUGUGCUGCACUACCUCCGUCGGAAGGCCGACUCUGACGCCUUCAAAAUCCCCGUCAUAGCCGAGGUCAACCUCUACAAGUUCGACCCUUGGGAUCUCCCUAGUAAGCUUUUCUCUCUGACUGAUUCGAAAACAACAUCACCAAAAUGGGUGAUGUUUCUCAAUAAUAGGUGCUUGAGAAAUCGAAUACUUAAUGUCCAACCUACAAGUGAGAGGACUUGGCAGAACUGAAACCAAGGCUGGUUACGUCAGUCUCAGCGAAGCAAAUAACGCUUGACAUGUUCAAAUCCCGAAAGCUUCAUAGCCUGAAACAUGAAAUUCAUUUGCACAUCCGGAUGUACCUAGUUACUUGAAAUUCCGCCCCACCGGAAACAGUAUAGUAAUGUCUUAUCGAACUUGAAAAGAUUGCUACAUUAUUCCGGCAGUUUCCACUCUGAUGUGCGAUUUUGCAACCAUUGUAGAUAAGGCGCUGUUCGGCGACAGGGAAUGGUAUUUCUUUUCUCCGAGGUAUAGAAAGUAUCCGAACGGUGCAAGGCCCAAUAGAGCUGCGGCGAGCGGGUACUGGAAAGCCACAGGAACGGACAAGCUCAUCCAUAUGUCCACUGGGCACGGCAAGGUCGGCGUGAAGAAGGCCCUGGUGUUCUACCGGGGGAAGGCACCCAAGGGCGAGAAGACGAACUGGAUCAUGCACGAGUACCGCCUCGCGGAAGGCGUCUCAACCUCCAAUAACCAUCACCGAAGGGGCUCUCUGCGUGUAUGUCCUGCAUUCUCCUACCUCACAAACAUUCAUGUCCGCUAUUACGUAUUUUGGUGUUUUCUGAAGGACUUUCGAUUAACCCAACUCCCCUACGUUCGAUUUCUCUUGUUUCGUGGAACAUCCACAACUAUGUUAGGACGCUCCGAUCUGAACGUAACCUACAUUUGGUGAUGCAGCUAGAUGAUUGGGUCCUGUGCCGAAUUUAUGAAAAAACCACCCAUGCCCAGCGAGCUGGAAAGGAACAGGAAAAUUCCUGCGUCGAGGAGGUGUUAGCGUCUCUUCCUAACUCAAUUGAUGACUCUAGGCUGGCGCUCCCACACCUAAAUACUUCGAAUGGAAGCCUAGAAUUUGCGGUUCAGCAGGAGGCACUCGUGGACAGCUUGCUCGUGGAGAACAGUUCGGAGAAUGGGUGUCUGUCAGCCAGCUUCGACAGUCUUCAAAGGGAAACUAUGUCGAAUAACCCAGGCGUUUCGGUGCAAGAUUUGCAAAACUUGACCAAUGAAUGGAAAUUGCAGCAAUCGAUGGCUACUGACCAUGAUAAUCUAGAGAGAUCUAGGCUUAUGGAGCAGCUUGCAUCAGUCCCUUCAGUCCAUCGACUGGCUGUCAGUACUCAACCUAUGGCCGACGGCGGUAUGGCCCAGUUCCAACACCCGCCGAGAUCUUACACCUUCGGCCAGAGGAACUGCCAGGAGAAGCCUAUGCCGGCAGGUCGCUCCGCAUCUGAUGAUGAAGUGCAAAGCAUGUUCCGGGCAACAGCCAUGGGGUUCACAAAUACUGGCUCAAGCAAUGCUCAUGGGCUGGAAUCCAUGUUUUCGGGGAUGGGUUACGAGGCCCAGCCAAAUUUGUCAUGUGGGAGACCUGGGGGACUUGAGAAUUGGGCCUAUCCCAUUAUGCCAUCACAACCUAGAAUGGACUUCAACUUCAACUACGCCCCCAAAAGUACUUUCAACUGACGCUCCAAGACCAAAACAUUAAAACUUCCCCAAGUUGCCAUGACGUGGGCCUCUUCAAUUGCGACGAGCAAUCUUUCAAUCUGAAAAUCCACCUGUUCGAUGUGUAACUCUUGCUCAAUCACCAACAGCCAGUGGUUCUCCAAGUCCUGGUGAUAAGUGAAGUUACGGACAAUGCUGGUAGAGUUUUCCAAAGUGUGCUCUUGUUGUACAUAUUGCUGCACAAUUCAUAUACAGUUUAGAUAGUCGGGAGUGGAAAACAGUGAUCCAUUAACACGAUUGGGCUUGCAAUCUAGACGCAAAGCGCGUAUUAGCGACACGUUAGUUAGUUAUGAUACAGCUCCCCUUCAAUUCAUUUCCCAAUCCCCUAGAUAGCACAUAGAUCACAUUUUCAAGUGAAAAUUGAAAUGGGCCACAUAUUGGGUAGACAUGGUUAUAAGGGGGUGCGUUUCCAUAGCACUAAGCGCAACAGAUCUCACCUCCAAAUCCGUAAUGGUAAUUCAUACGCAGGAAUGGGAUACAGCGCAUCGAUUCUUUGCAGGCUCCCUGUUAAUAAAGAGACCUGCUCAGGCUGGGCAGGCAAUACCAUAAAACCUGAAACAACGUGCCAAUUCAGACCAUCGUAUUUCCUCCAAUCGAUCACCCACGAAUGUUGCGCCCAUCGAAGAUUUCGAGGGGAAUGAGGUCACAAGGGGGUUUAGGUGGUCUACUCUUCGGUCGCCACCUGUUACUCCAGUUGUGCAUCUCGGCGCUUUAACAGGCUGACCAACUUUGCAUCCACGUUGGCCACCCCACAGCUUUUGACGCUGACACUACCAGUCACACCCCGCCACGCAACGUAGACUAAUGCACUCCUCGUGAGAUUAACUCGCUCGCGAUUCUUCCAAAUUCCUCUUGCUCUUAGUCGUGUGAGAUUCUGUUGUUAUCUUGCAACAUGCAGUAUAUUGCGCAAUCCAAACAGCCCUACAGUUGAAUCUUUCGGUGCUAUCUGUAUUGCCUUUGUCUUGUCGUGGUUGUGAUUUUUAGUGCUUCGAGAGUGGGGGAGAGAGAGAGAGAGAGAGAGAGAGAAAGAGAGAGAGAAAGCUGCAGAGGGAAUUGGUGCAGAUUUUGUGGAGCUUCAGUUUGUGUUCGAGCAGAGAAGCUCUGGAGUUUUUUUGUUGAGGUUUUGGAGUUGUAGAGAUGGAGUUGGGUUCGGCUGAAAUAGCGGAGACGAUAGCCUUGAAGGCGGUUACACUGACUCACGUGCGGUAUCACCAGGGGGAUUUGCUUGGCCACGCUCUGUCGUGGUUUUCCUUGCUGCCGGUGUUCAUCGCUUUGGGUGGCUUUAUGUCGCAUUUCAUCUUCCGGCGAGAGUUACAGGCCAUGUUCUUUGGCUUGGGACUGAUUGUGAAUGAAAUCGUGAACCAGGUGUUUUCGCCUUCCCCUUCCUCGUCACCUUCAUCUCCUGGAUAGUUGGAUUUCUGUAGAGCCAGCCUAAAAAUUAAAGGAAAACGGCCGAAUUUUGUAUCCUGCUCUUCACAAAUCGAAUAGACGGAGCAAUAGGAGCUUGGAGGGAAGCACGACACAGGACCUAAGCAUGCUUUCCGAUCCUGUGAUGUGUUUUUCUUUCCAGACGUCUAUGUCUGCGUCCCUUCCUCUUUGAAUCUUGAGGCAGGUCUUCGCCUAGAGAAUAGAAAGGGUUUAGAAUAAUGAUUCAGUGAUAGGCAGCUAGAGUAUAGAAUUCACUUAAUUCAGCUGCCAAAAUAUGUUAGGAAACAUGUACAUCAAGUAGUCCCAAGUCCUGUUUGCAACCCUGAGGUUGAUUGCGUGUCUGCGUCGGAGCAAUCUAGUCAUGUUCUAGCACUCAGUCGGUGUGGUCGGUGUCAGCAACUGUGUCGAAUUGUUUGGUGACUAUCUGUAAUACACCAAGCCAUAACGUAUACUUUGAAAAAAAAGUGUUUCCGGUAGUAUGAAUUUCACCUUGAAUUGAACACCCUACCGAUAAGAGAAUUCUCGAACGAGAACGAUUGUAGGUGCUGUCAAACGAUUCUUUGAUAAUUCCAUUGUGAAUCUGGACAGUUCCAAUUCUCAUUCACUUAAGAUAGUCAGCUCAUCUACAACUUCUGCCAUUCAUGGCCGUGUCGGAUGAGCGGCAAAAUGGAGGUCUACUUUGUAAAUUGAUUUUGAAACCACUGCAUUAUUUCAUGACGCUAACGUUGUGUCCUGCCGCCUUGUCGGUGCUCCCUGUGCAGAUCAUCAAGGAACUAGCCCACGAAGCCCGGCCUCUAACUUGCGAGGCGUUGGAGAUGUGCGAUUCCAACGGGUGGCCAUCGAGCCACUCCCAGUACAUGUGCUUCUUCUCAAUGUAUUGUACUCUUCUGGUGACGCGCAGGCUCCACUUCGCCGACGAGUUCCGACGAAUCUUUGUUGCCCUACUGCCCUGGCCAUUCGCGCUCACUGUCAUGUACUCCAGAGUAUACCUGGGUUACCACACCACACCUCAGAUCAUAGCCGGAGGCAGCUUGGGUCUCCUCAUGGGCGCCGGAUGGUUCUUCCUCAUGAAUAACAUAGUCUCUAAAUGGUUCCCUUGGGUGGAGGAUACCAGCGUGUGUCGGUACCUCCGCAUCAAGGAUAGCUCUCACAUCCCUGAUGUCAUUGGUUUCGAGUACCGAAACUCUCGAGAUGCACGUCGCAAUCCUCACAAAUACGAAAUCUCUACAACGAACUCCGACAAGGUAUCUCAGGAUUGAAGAUAGUAAUAAAACUGCUGCGAAGUCUGCAAGCCACCGCGAAUACACAUCCACAGAAUGACAUUGUAUGGCAACAGUCCAGAAAACGUGCCGGAAACGAGACAGCGGAUUCUCAACACUCGUUGCUCGCGGACAAUUUACAACAGGCCAUGGAGACCCUUGGGAAGCAAGGAAUCAUAGACGAUGAAGCACUGGGUGUGGGAAACCCUAAACCUGGUUUUCUAAGGAGCCCUAAUCUUGCUGAGUGUGUAGUCUUUGGUCCAAGUGUUUGAAUGGAUGUGUUUUGGUUGUCCUUUCUUGUGACCCACUUUGGAAAACUCUUAACUCAAAGCUGUCUUGCACCCAAUUGGAUGUAGUAGGUUAAGCAGUAAUUCACUUUUGGAAAUCAUUUGUUUAUGUUGUCAGAAAGCCUGUCCCAAAAUACAAGCCUUGUAGGAGUAGGCAUAGUGAAGCAUAUACUCAUCACAUGGAAAUUGAAUUGAAUUUUUUGUAAGUUUCAUCUAUACAUGUAUUUGACACAAUUCAGUAGAUACAUAUAUAUAUAUAUAUAAGAUCCAAUUCCUUCGAGGUAAGCAUGUGCAUAUAUGUGUGUGUUAAAAAAUUUUAAAGAAUGAUUCUUUUUUUGUUAACUAAGCACUUUGUUGUUGAAAACAUAUGCUUCACAUUGUAUCACAUGAAGGCUGUGAUAGGCAACCUGAUUCCAUACUUUCAUAAUUAACCAUGAUAUGUAUUUUAAAACCCAAGAUGUUAAAGUUUGAAUUAAUUGCAAUUUUAUCAAAGUAUGAUUAACAAAUAAAAAUAAAAAUAAAAAUGGAUAUACCCUACAUUAACACCAAGCAACGAUGCUUGUGCAUGACACAACAUAUGUUUAAUUAGUAUGUUGUAACUCUUAUGAUUGUAAGGUACAUUUUGUUUUUCAAAAUUUUAAUAAUUUUUUUAAGUGCUAGACUUCAAGAAACAAAUCAAGUUGAACUUCUUAUAGUUUAAACUAAUAAUAAAUGCUUUUAAAAAUCGAGUAUUGUAAAAGUAAAGUUUCAUAAAUUUCCGAAAAAUAUUGAAUGAUUUGGAUUUCACCUAAAACAUUCCAGAUUUAACCCUUUUCUUGGUUCUUAUUUUCAAUAGGCACAAACACCAUUUUUUUUCUUUCAAACUACAAUAUCGUCAAACACAUUAUAAAAAACAAAAAUAAAAAUUUCUGAAUACUGCAAGAAGUUUUAAAAAAUCAAACGUUCUGUUUACAAUUAUCAUUUUUAUUUGCAGCCAACUAUUAUUUUGCAUAUCUAACAUCAAUGAAGUAUGUCAGUCACACCAACUCUGUGAAAAAAGAAAAGACAGGAAAAAGUGAUAUAUAAAUCGAAAUACAUAAAUAUACACGAACUUUUUUAUAAACACACACAGACGUAUAUACCUACAUACAAACAUACACACGGACGGACAGAUAGUCGGGUGUUCACAGAGUGAUUUCGUCAAUGUUACCAAUGAUGACUAUAUGAGUGAACGAACGUAAUACAUGAAUAGAACAAUUGGAUGACGAUACAACAGUAACAAGAAUACGGUUACGCCAUUAGAUACGUAGUUUUCGACGUACACCCUAAAGAAGAAAACGUCGUGUGGUGUAGGUGUGAAAUGGAGGGUCUCCGUUAGGGCUUGCAGGUCGGCCGUGUGGGGCUACAAACCCCAUCACGUCUCCGAGAUGGGUCUCUCUUUGGAAGUCUGUGAGCAGCGCCGCCUGCCUCAGCUCUUGGCUUUCCAGCCUUCGUCUUUGUUUGCGUUCUCCUGCUUCAUCACUCUCUUCUACUCCGUCCUUAGGGUUUACUUUUCUUUGACAAAAUGGCAGAAACUUUGGUACUUCGCGGGACGUUGAAGGGUCACGCCAAUUGGGUGACGGCCAUCGCCUGCCCGCUCGACAACCCCGACCUCAUCCUUUCGUCGUCUCGUGACAAGAGUAUCAUCGUCUGGCACCUCUCUCGCGAGGAGGGCAACUACGGUGUCGCCCGCCGCCGUUUGACUGGCCACGCUCACUUCGUUCAAGAUGUCGUGAUUUCCUCUGACGGACAGUUUGCUUUGUCUGGAUCAUGGGACGGAACCCUCCGCUUGUGGGACUUGAACACCGGAACCACCACCCGGCGGUUCAUUGGCCACACCAAGGAUGUGCUCAGUGUGGCUUUCUCUGUUGAUAACAGGCAGAUUGUGUCUGGCUCCCGUGACAAAACUAUCAAGUUGUGGAACACUCUCGGUGAGUGCAAGUAUACCAUCCAGGACGUAGACGCCCACACUGGCUGGGUCAGUUGUGUGCGUUUCUCCCCUGUGACGGCCAACCCUAUUAUCGUGUCUGGAGGGUGGGACAAGGUCGUGAAGGUGUGGAACCUGACCAACUGCAAGAUUCGUACUAACUUGGUUGGACACACCGGAUACGUUAAUACUGUUACUGUGUCUCCUGAUGGUUCCUUGUGCGCUAGCGGUGGCAAGGACGGAGUUGCCAUGUUGUGGGACUUGGCCGAGGGCAAGAGGUUGUACUCUUUGGAUGCUGGCGACAUCAUCCACUCCCUAUGUUUCAGCCCCAACAGGUACUGGCUGUGUGCUGCCACUCAGACCUGUAUCAAGAUCUGGGACUUGGAGAGCAAGAGCGUCGUCGACGAGCUGCGCCCCGAGUUCACCUUCGUCAGCAAGAAGGCCCAGAUUCCCUACUGUGUGAGUCUGAACUGGAGUGCCGACGGCAGCACCCUGUUCAGCGGCUACACCGAUGGUCACAUUAGAGUGUGGGCUGUUGGACGGGCUUAGAUUUUGCCCCCUUCGUCUAUGAAUUCGUGAACUGCACACCAGAUGUUCACAAAUCUGAAACCGGGUUCCUACGGAUGAGGAUGAAUGGAUACACUUUUAGCGUUUUGGAAUUGGAAGAGUAGUGAAGAAAGGAAUGCAAAAUUCAUAACGCUUCUCAAAUUUGUGUCUCAUUGAUUCCAUAUUGCAGAUGUCGCAUUUCAUUGGUCAUGAACGGAUUGUGCAUUUGCAGAUGUGCGCUUCAUCCCUAGCUUACUGUCUGCUUCCAUGUUUUUGUAGCAGACGCUUGACUUUCAUGAGCAUUUUGAAUUAGGUCAAUGGAAUGUGAAAGAGAACAGCUGUAUGUAUGGCACAAUGCUUUCGUUUUGACCUAAUUUUUUCGCUACUUAGAUGUUAACUUGCUCGUGGAUGACGCCGAUAACGCACCCUCCAUUAUUUCAGGUUUACCUGUAAACAGAUAAUGCUGAAAUAGCAGUAUUGUCCCGGAUGUUUCCUGAAGUCUUGGACGAAAGGUGCAUGCCUCAAUGGUGCUAUACCAAGUGAGCUAAUCAACUGUAGUUUCAUGACAUUUGAUUACGACAACAAGAUCUCGGCUUACAAACCUUAAUCAUUGCGAUUGCAAAAUCAUGAUUCGGAUGUAGAUUUGGAAUUUUGUAAUUGAUCAUGAGUUUUGCCAAGUCUGUCCCAUGGUUACAGAGUCACUGAAGUUAAACAAUGAAGACUUCAAAAUGAUUUGUAUGAUAAAACGUUCGAUUUCUGAUAUUAGUUUGAGAACCUCUUGUUUAUUUUUGGAGACUAUUCUUAACAAACUUUUCCUUACCCCUCUAACAUAUUGAAUCAACAAAUAAGAACCUGUUUAUACCUUGGGCCUCUUCAAACAGGUCCUCGAAGAGCUAGUAUAUCGAUACACAUAUGUCUACAUACUUGGUUCAAAGUUCCCACGCUACUUCCAGGUAUGUUCAGUAUUAAUUGGACAGAUUCAUUAAUUAUGUAAAUAUUGAUAGAUUUUUUUUUGUAUCAAUCUACAUCAAUUUAAUAAGAAAAAUCUAAGCUCUCCUAGUAUAUCCAAAAUCUUCUAUGUUUAGAGGAAUCAAGCAAUUCUAUCGUCCAAUGACAAUCCAACUAUUAGCAACCUACAAUUUUUGUCAGCACCAUCAAAUGAGAUGUUUUUUUUAGAGUUACAGUCUAGUGUGAGUACCAUCUAUUAAUUUCCAUGUCUUUUCCAUAGAGAUGCCACAAUUCUUCAACAUUAUUUUUUGUAUAGAUCUACAAAAUCUUACAAACAAGAAGUACGAAUCAAACUUUAUCAAUGUCAAGUCAUACUUAUUGUUUUAAAGACAGUUUAUGAUUCAAAUGCACAAAGUUAUGUUAAUUUGUAAAUUCCACCUAUACAAGUCUAUAUGUUGAGCUUGGAUCUACUUGAACAAGAUCAUGCAUUAAAAACAUUGCAACAUCAUAUAAUCUAUUCAUGUCUAUAGUCUUGGAAAUAGAUUGAAUUAGUUAAAAAAAUAGUCACAAUAUUAUUAUUAAUAAUAUUUAUAUAUUUUUUUAAUAAAUAAUUAUUUUAACUUAUGUAUAUGCCUAAAAUAAUAAAUAAUUAAAAAUAUAAAUAAAAUAUAAUUAUAUCUCAAUUAUAUGUGUACAAUAAUAUAUUUUAUAUCAUGUAAAAAAAGAAAAAAAUUGAUAUAUAUAUAUAUAUACAUACAUACAGUUGACUCUCCGUUAACUAACAUAAUUGGUGGAUGCCAAAAUAUAUCUAAUAUUGGAGGGUAUUGAGUUAUAGAGUGAUGGAUUGUGAUUGAUUAAUAUAAUGAAAAUAUAAAGGGAGAUUUUAUGUUUUAAAAAAUAUAGAAGUUGCUUCCCAAGGUCUUUCCCAACUUUUACAAACAAAAUUCUAUGGAGUUACAAAGUAACAUACUUAUUCAGCAAACAAAGUAGAGCAAUUUCAAAUACUUAUCAAUGCGCAAAGGCUUGCAAUUUGUAAGAAAAAGGCAAAAAAACUCAUUUGUGAACCACAAAGAACUUGUAACAUGAGCAGCACAUGAUUUCAAUUUCCAAAAAACUGCCAUAGUACAAUAUCAUUAGCUCAAUUUUCAAUAAGCACCAAAAGUAUGAGAGCCUCAACUUAUUUGGACUCUUUGCAAAGUGCCAAUAACUUCCAAUGCAUCUUCAUUUAGAAAAAGUGUUGGCUAAUUAGAUUUUGCAAUACCAACAUUGGGAUGUUGUAUUCAUUGAUGGAUUAAUACAAGAAAAAAGAAGAAAAUUUUCUAUGCUUUUAAGCAUUGCAAAUCCCCGAAGAUUUUCAAAUUGCUUGAUUCAAAAGUUUAAGCAACAAUUGUCAAGGACAAGAACAUGAUAAAGACAAAUAAACAAGUGAGACUUCUCUCAUAGAAAGAUGACAAAAUAGAAAUAACUUGAUAUAUAUAUAUAUAUAUAUAUAUAUAUAUAUAUAUAUAUAUAUAAAGAAAGAAAUUGGAAUGGCUAUUGCCAAAAGCCAAAAAAAUUAAAGACCCUUGAAACUAGAGUAGAAGCAAGAAAGAAGUUGACAAGAGUGAAGGAAGCUUCACUCUUGUCUCUAUAUAUACUAUCUAACUAGGAGCUAUGUGGCGACGUUCUAUAGGACCUCCAAUAUGUGUUGACUUUGUAGGACACAUGCCUUGACUUACAAGGUAAGUUUUUCUAUGUGUGGGCCACAUAGUUACCUUGGUCUUCAAGCUAACAACAUGUGUGGCACAUGGCCAACUUGUUGACCACGUUUCUAAUCCAAAAAGUCAAUUAAAGAUACCUAUAAGGUCAAAGCAGUGUCUAUAAAGCUUCUAGGAAGCUUCCAUAUCAAAUACUAUAGAAUUAACUUAUUU